GCCCUUUCGGGUAACCUCUAACAAGCUAGAAAAGGUCUUCAUACUAAGCUAAAGCCAGAGCCAUUAUAGCCCUCAUGGUUGCACUGUUGUCCCGGGUGAUCACGUACAGAUAAAUCAUAAAGUGGCUAAAAAGUCAUUUUUAUCAUUUAUUACUUAACAUUAAUCUAGUCACAGGAUCAUGGUCACACAAAUAAAAUCCAAAUGCUAUACUUGCCUUAAUUCAAAUGCUCUUGUUGAUCCUGCUUGUCUUACUAGUUGCCAAGGCUCUGAUCUUGAUCACUGAAGCACUCUUGAUCACCACGAAUUGCCCACCGACUAAUUCCGAUCAUCGAUCACAAACACACAAACAAUCGGGGCCAAACAUACACGAAGCAAACAAUAGAACUAAAUUAGAACAAACACCAAACAAUAAAAAUGGUUUGAAAACUAAUCUACACAUUGCUACAAGCACCAAGACGUGAAAAGCACUCUAAUUAGAGCUAUGCCAAAAUAGAAACAACUACCGAAAGAUUUACUUUUGAAACUUAUUUAUUUUAAUUAUAUAAAAAUUAUAUAUAGAAAAUUCUAGAGAAAUAUCAUGUUAAGUCAAUUUGUAUUUUGAAAUAGAAAACCAAAAUAAACUAAUUAUAUCUUAUUUAUAAAUCCAAUUGCAUAAUUUUUUUUAUGUAGUUAUUAGGGAAUACCUUCGGGAUAUAUAUAUAUAAGAUGAAUUUUCUUGAAUUGAGGAAUAAAUGGAUAAUAGUAAUCUAUUAUGCAUGAAUGACAUGUACGUGACCUGGUCAGCAUCAUCUUUAAUCAAUAAAAUAAUACACAUCUUUAAUCAUGCCUGCAUGAAUUAAGCUGGUUACGUGUGUAAGCACUCCUAUUUAUUAUUUUUUUAUUGCAGGGACUCGGAUAUUGCACCAAAGUGAUGUUAGCAUGACAUCAGCACCUGAUUUAGUAAUAGAGUAAUAUGACAAGAACUAAUCUGGCCGCUAACCUUUCGUUAAUCAUGGUGCACUUUAGCGUAUGCUUCAUCAGCUAGCUCGCGUGGUCAGGACGAUCACAGCUGAGGUACUUCAUGCUAGCGAACACGGACGCGGUGGUUGGAUGUGUAGUAGAUGUAGAUGAAAACAAGAUAGCCUGCUAGCUUAUCCCUUCGUGACCGGCAACUACUUGCUUUGCGGAAGUUCAUAGCUGGAAACAGAUCGAUGGUAAGACUGGUACACAGCCGAAGAUGAUAUAGAUACAGAAAAAGAACGGUGACCGUACCGGUGGUGGUGUUUCAUAUCGUCGUGCUCCUCCGGCCGAAAACAAAGCAAGUGUUCCUCGAAAGCCUGUGCGUCUUCACAAGAAAAUUCCAGCUGAUGGUAGAUUGCGCUGUCGGGGUGUAGACGAUUUCGGCUGAUCUGCAUCGUGGCUGAUGAUCUUUUUGGUCAUCGUUUGGCUAUGGCGGCUACGGCAAGAGAUGGUUCGGUAGAUGAGAGGUGCUAGGGUUAGGAGAAAAGAGCAGCAACAUCGAAAGGCAAAACAAGUCGGACCAAUCUAUAGGCUGGUGGCUGUUUUAUCCGUGGUAGAAUCGAAUUACAGCCGUAGUUGAUGCGGAUGUUGUAUGGGACCAAAAUCUUGUGGAGAAACAAGAAAUAAGGCAAAGGCAUCCUAGCCGUCACGGUGCAUCUGUUAGCGGCAUCAGGAAGCAGCUCGCUUUUUAAUGGGUGGCUGUAUAUGCCGAUGAUGGUAGUUUGAUUCUGUGCGAGGUAAGCGGCACCGGCGACAGAUUGCGUGGCUUCGAUCAACCAGGAUAUUUUCAAAGGUUUGGAAAAGGGAUACAGGAGGCUCGAUUUGCUAUUUAUAAAUGGGCAUAACAACCAACAUCGAGUCAUGGAGUCCCUGUGCACCUUUAGCGUAUAUUUGGGAGGAAAUAUAGUUCGAUUUCUCUUUCGUGGCAACAGAAACAAAACUAGCAACAGGCUGCCGUAAGCUAUACGCAUAAAAGAUUUGGCCUAAUUGCUUGCUUCUUCAUAUCCGUAUAUAUAAUAACCUCUCGUGAAAGCAAAAUAGACCAAGAAAGGAAAUAAAAGAACAGGUAGAGCAGAUCGAUGCGAGAUAGUCGUGUAUAGACCUUGAUCCAUUAGUCUAAGAGCCAAAGGUUUGGUUUGAGAUGGACAAGAGUUAGGAUUAAGUACUUUCGGAAUUAAUUAAUUUUGUGCAUAAAAAUAAUUCUAACAAAGUUUACAAUUACUAUUUAUAUCACAACAAUGCUCCUAAGCUUAGAAAAUCCCUGGAAAAAUUCCUAGAGACAGAUUGAAUGAUUGAAGAACUCAAAUAAAAUAUUUGGAGCUCAUGACAAUAUAAUUUGGAGCAUCUACAAAUUAGAUUAUGCUUACAGAAAUGUGGGAACAAGUUCCAGAAAAAUACUGAAAUAGUUUUUGAUAUGUUUUUAUAGAUUGACGGGUGAGGAACUCAAGAAGUGAUUUGGGUUACAAAGAAAAUAUUUUGAGAAACUCCAAAUGAAAGCAUAAGCUGAGAAUCAAGGAGUUUGAUUGUAGGAAAAGAGAAAGACGUGUCAGACAAGUAUGAUCGGCCUUGUAUUUUAAAGAUUUUUCUCACUCUCAAUACACAAAGGAGCAACAAGCAACAUCACCUUAAAUCAUAUGCAUCAGCAUGUAUACACAACAUUGUUGCUAAACCCUAUGAUGAAUUUUAAUUUAAGGAAAAUUUUCAUUUUUACUAUGUUUUUAUGAGCACAAAAAUACCUAAUUAAAUCAUUUUAGACCUAUUUCAAAAGAUGCAAAUUUUUAGGAUGUUACACGUUUUCAAUUGAAAAUUUUAAAUUUUGAUUUGUUUUAAACAACCUCGGAUGGAAAAACUCUCUAAAUAAACUUUGUAGAUCUAAAAAAGUUAUGAAACUUUGUAGUUCAUAACUUUUUGUUUUGAAAUCAUCUUGUCAUGCAAAAACUACAUUUGAAUUUCUUAAAUUUGAAAAUUCUUUGCCGAGUGUUUUUCUUUGACCCUCGGCAAAUACCUUCUUUGCGGAGUGUCAAAAAUAAAACACUCGGCAAAUAAAAUUUCAAAUCCAAUUUUGAAGGCCUUAACGAAUUCAAAUCAAAAAGUUUUUAACUACAAAGUUAUAUAAAUUUUCAAGAUCUACAAUAUUUACUUUGAUCAUUUCUUUAUUUGACAAAGCCAAUACAAAUUUAUUUACAAGUUUUACAUCUCUAUUUUAUAGUUUAUGAAACUACAAGAGAGAUAUAUAAGAUUUGAGAAAAAUAUUAGAAUCACCAUGUCGGAUGAACAUAUGACAAAAUAACCUAUAUAAACUCUAUAGAUCUUGAGAAGUUAUGAAAUUUUGUAUUUGGCAACUUUUUUAUUUGAGUUCAUCUUGUCAUGCAAAACCGCGUUUUUAAUUGAAAAUUUUAAAUUUUGAUUUGUUUUAAACAACCUCGGAUGGAAAAGCUCUCAAAAUAAACUUUGUAGAUCUAAAAAAGUUAUGAAACUUUGUAGUUGAUAACUUUUUGUUUUCAAAUCAUCUUGUCAUGCAAACAAAAUAUUUGAAUUUCUUAAAUUUGAAAAUUCUUUGCCGAGUGUUUUUCUUCGACACCCGGCAAAGACCUUCUUUGCCGAGUGUCAAAAAUAGAACACUCGGCAGAGAAAAUUUCAAAUCGAAUUUUGAAGGCCUUAACGAAUUCAAAUCAAAAAGUUUUCAACUACAAAGUUGUAUAAAUUCUCAAGAUCUACAACAUUUACUUUGAUCAUUUCUUUAUUUGACAAAGCCAAAACAAAUUUAUUUACAAAUUUUACAUCUCUAUCUUAUAGUUUAUGAAACUACAAGAGAGAUAUAUAAGAUUUGAGAAAAAUAUUAGAAUCACCAUGUCGGAUGAACAUAUGACAAAAUAAUCUAAAUAAACUCUGUAGAUCUUGAGAAGUUAUGAAAUUUUGUAUUUGGCAACUUUUUUAUUUGAGUUCAUCUUGUCAUGCAAAACCGCGUUUUUAAUUGAAAAUUUUAAAUUUUGAUGUGUUUUAAACAACCUCGGAUGGAAAAACUCUCUAAAUAAACUUUGUAGAUCUAAAAAAGUUAUGAAACUUUGUAGUUGAUAACUUUUUGUUUUGAAAUCAUCUUGUCAUGCAAACACAACAUUUGAAUUUCUUAAAUUUGAAAAUUCUUUGACGAGUGUUUUUCUUCGACACUCGGCAAAGACCUUCUUUGCGGAGUGUCAAAAAUAAAACACUCGGCAAAGAAAAUUGCAAAUCGAAUUUUGAAGGCCUUAACGAAUUCAAAUCAAAAAGUUUUUAACUACAAAGUUGUAUAAAUUCUUAAGAUCUACAACAUUUACUUUGAUCAUUUCUUUAUUUGACAAAGCCAAAACAAAUUUAUUUACAAAUUUUACAUCUCUAUCUUAUAGUUUAUGAAACUACGAGAGAGAGAUAAGAUUUGAGAAAAAUAUUAGAAUCACCAUGUCGGAUGAACAUAUGACAAAAUAACCUAAAUAAACUCUGUAGAUCUUGAGAAGUUAUGAAAUUUUGUAUUUGGCAACUUUUUUAUUUGAGUUCAUCUUGUCAUGCAAAACCGCGUUUUUAAUUGAAAAUUUUAAAUUUUGAUUUGUUUUAAACAACCUCAGAUGGAAAAACUCUCUAAAUAAACUUUGUAGAUCUAAAAAAGUUAUGAAACUUUGUAGUCGAUAACUUUUUGUUUUGAAAUCAUCUUGUCAUGCAAAAACUACAUUUGAAUUUCUUAAAUUUGAAAAUUCUUUGCCUAGUGUUUUUCUUUGACACUCGGCAAAGACCGAGUGUCAAAAAUAAAACACUCGGCAAAGAAAAUUUCAAAUCGAUUUUUGAAGGCAUAAACAAAUUCAAAUCAAAAAGUUUUUUACUACAAAGUUGUAUAAAUUCUCAAUAUCUACAGUAUUUACUUCGAUCAUUUCUUUAUUUGACAAAGCCAAAACAAAUUUAUUUACAAAUUUUACAUCUUUAUCUUAUAGUUUAUAAAACUACAAGAGAGAUAUAUAAGAUUUGAGAAAAAUAUUAGAAUCACCAUGUCGGAUGAACAUAUGACAAAAUAACCUAAAUAAACUCUGUAGAUCUUGAGAAGUUAUGAAAUUUUGUACUUGGCAACUUUUUUAUUUGAGUUCAUCUUGUCAUGCAAAACCGCGUUUUUAAUUGAAAAUUUUAAAUUUUGAUUUGUUUUAAACAACCUCAGAUGAAAAAACUCUCUAAAUAAACUUUGUAGAUCUAAAAAUGUUAUGAAACUUUGUAGUUGAUAACUUUUUGUUUUGAAAUAAUCUUGCCAUGCAAACACUACAUUUGAAUUUCUUAAAUUUGAAAAUUCUUUGCCGACUGUUUUUCUGUGACACUCGGCAAAGACCUUCUUUGCCGAGUGUCAAAAAUAAAACACUCGGCAAAGAAAAUUUCAAAUCGAAUUUUGAAGGCCUUAACGAAUUCAAAUCAAAAAGUUUUUAACUACAAAGUUAUAUAAAUUUUCAAGAUCUACAACAUUUACUUUGAUCGUUUCUUUAUUUGACAAAGCCAAAACAAAUUUAUUUACAAAUUUUAUAUCUCUAUCUUAUAGUUUAUGAAACUACAAGAGAGAUAUAUAAGAUUUGAGAAAAAUAUUAGAAUCACCAUGUCGGAUGAACAUAUGACAAAAUAACCUAAAUAAACUCUGUAGAUCUUGAGAAGUUAUUAAAUUCAGUAUUUGGCAACUUUUUUAUUUGAGUUCAUCUUGUCAUGAAAAACUGCGUUUUUAAUUGAAAAUUUUAAUUUUUGAUUUUUUUAAACAACCUCGGAUGGAAAAACUCUCUAAAUAAACUUUCUAGAUCUAAAAAAGUUAUGAAACUUUGUAGUUGAUAACUUUUUGUUUUGAAAUCAUCUUGUCAUGCAAACACAACAUUUGAAUUUCUUAAAUUUGAAAAUUCUUUGCCGAGUGUUUUUCUUCGACACUCGGCAAUGACCUUCUUUGCCGAGUGUCAAAAAUAAAACACUUGGCAAAGAAAAUUUCAAAUCGAAUUUUGAAGGCCUUAACGAAUUCAAAUCAAAAAGUUUUUAACUACAAAGUUGUAUAAAUUCUUAAGAUCUACAACAUUUACUUUGAUCAUUUCUUUAUUUGACGAAGCCAAAACAAAUUUAUUUACAAAUUUUACAUCUCUAUCUUAUAGUUUAUGAAACUACAAGAGAGAUAUAUAAGAUUUGAGAAAAAUAUUAGAAUCACCAUGUCGGAUGAACAUAUGAUAAAAUAACUUAAAUAAACUCUGUAGAUCUUGAGAAGUUAUGAAAUUUUGUACUUGGCAACUUUUUUAUUUGAGUUCAUCUUGUCAUGCAAAACCGCGUUUUUAAUUGAAAAUUUUAAAUUUUGAUUUGUUUUAAACAACCUCAGAUGGAAAAACUCUCUAAAUAAACUUUGUAGAUCUAAAAAAGUUAUGAAACUUUGUAGUGGAUAAUGUUUUGUUUUGAAAUCAUCUUGUCAUGCAAAAACUACAUUUGAAUUUCUUAAAUUUGAAAAUUCUUUGCCUAGUGUUUUUCUUUGACACUCGGCAAAGACCUUCUUUGCCGAGUGUCCAAAAUAAAACACUCGGCAAAGAAAAUUUCAAAUCGAAUUUUGAAGGCCUAAACGAAUUCAAAUCAAAAAGUUUUUAUCUACAAAGUUGUAUAACUUCUCAAGAUCUACAACAUUUAUUUUGAUCAUUUAUUUAUCUGACAGAGCCAAAACAAAUUUAUUUACAAAUUUUACAUCUCUCUCUUAUAGUUUAUGAAACUACAAGAGAGAUAUAUAAGAUUUUAGAAAAAUAUUAGAAUCACCUUGUCGGAUGAACAUACAAAAUAACCUAAAUAAACUCUGUAGAUCUUGAGAAGUUAUGAAAUUUUGUAUUUGACAACUUUUUUAUUUGAGUUCAUCUUGUCAUGCAAAACCGCGUUUUCAAUUGAAAAUUUUAAAUUUUGAUUUGUUUUAAACAACCUCGGAUGGAAAAACUCUCUAAAUUGUCACACCCAUAUUUUAAGAACAAAAUAGGAUGCAUAAAAGACUCAUAUGUGCCCCAGAAACAGUCGCACACAUAAGUAGACAAAUCUCAAAUGUACCAUUGCAGUGUUUAUUACAUAACGGAAUAUAAAAUAUCACAUAGUCUCAUACAGAAAUGAUAGCAUAAUGUAAACAACGCUCUCGACGGAAGCUCCACACAGGGACACUGCUGACUGGUUGACUCCAAACCUAGUACUCAUAGCGAUAAUCCUCAUUCCAGUCAUCUUCAUUAUCAUAUCCUGAGGUGUUGGGAAAUUGCAAGAGUGAGCACAUAUCGUACUCAACAAGUAUAACCAGGGGUUCAUGAGGCUCAAAUAGCUGACACUGGUUUGACUGCAUUUAGCUUUUAAUGGUGGAUAGCAUGUUCAUAAUUAAAUAGCAAUUGUCAAGGUAGCAUAAAUAACCCAUUAAUCCCAUGAUCAAGUGUAAGCAUAAUUAAUUCAUAGCAUAAACGAUAAUCAAAUGAACAUAACAACUUAAUAAGCUCAUCGUCGGCGCAGCAAGAACCCCCAAGGCCGCUCAUAACCGUGAGCACGGCUAGUAUACCAGUUUUACACUCUGCAGAGGUUGUACAUCUUUACCCAUGAGUCAUGAUUUACCCUUUCGCCCGAGGUAGCUAAUCUCCUAACCCCCUUCCUAGGGAGGUCGGCAGGGAUCACUAUGAAGCCUUUCAAAAGUUCGUCUAACAUGUUAGGGCCGCAAGGUUUCCUUUGCGAGCAGAUAUAGAUACCCCCUUCCGAAUGGCACAAUGACGCGCAGCCUAUACACAUAGGGACAGGGGCUCGCACUAUACCCGUGUCGGUUCAGCUCCUCUAGCGCCCUUUCGGGUAACCGCUAACAAGCUAGAAAAGGUCUCCAAACUGAGCUAAAGCCAGAGCCAUUAUAGCCCUCAUGGUUGCACUGUUGUCCCGGUGAUCACUUACAGACAAGAUCUCAUACAGUUAUUUGUCAUUCUUUUAUGUUCAUUGCAUAGCUAUUAAUCAUCUUACAAGAUCAUCGAUUAUAUCAAGCACUAGCACAUCUACAACAAAUGCAUAUCAAGUAGGUAGCAAGGAAUCCAGGUAACAAUCAUCUAUGAUUUUGCUAAGGUCGACAAGGUGAUAGCAUGCAUAUGAUGUAUAUGUGUAGUUAUAAGUGAAUAGGUAACAAAGAUGAUCCCAAGUUAUACUUGCCUUGCUCAAAGCUCUCCUGAGCCUGCUGGUCCUCAAAAGAUUGACCUUGAUCACCGACGUACGGCUCACCGUCUAAUCCCAAUCAUCAAUCAACAACACGCAAUCCAAUGUAGACAAUCAUACACGAAACAAACAAGAUAUAAUUAGAACAAUACACCAAACAGUGGUAAAACAAAUGUAAAAGUUUAUCAAAAUAUUCUACGCAGCGCUACGAUCAUACAGACGUAAAGUUCACAAAAAUCGGAAUUAAAACGUGAAAGAUAUAAAUUUUCUAAGAUUUCCUAUAGAGAAGUAAAUAAUUAAAUAGAACCAAAAAAUUAAAAAGUUUCAAAACAGUAAACUAAUAUUUCUAACAUGUAGAGAUCGUAAAUACGAAUCUAACGGGAUUUGAAUGGACAAAACGGAGUUAAAAUGAAUAUUUUAUGAGCAAAACAAAAUCAGUGGCAUUUCUGUAAUUAGCUGAAAACGUAAUCUGAGAGCUAUAAGCUAAAAUACGCUUUUAAAACAUGAAAACGUAAACCGGUGAUUACCCCUUGGACCGUGGGUUGGUUAUCAAGUUUUCUAGGGGCUCUUAAGCAAGAUGUACGCCGAAAGGGUAUCGGCCACCCUGGGCCAUUGGAUCAGCAAGAGACGGCUCCGAUUAGAUGCAGGAGAGAGAGAAAGAGGGCUCGGCCGCCGGCGGUGACCCCUCGCGGCGGCGCCAUAGACGCUCCCUCCGGAGCUCGCCGGAGUUAGCGGAAAACGUGCCACGGUGAGCCAAACUCCAAACCAAGGGCAUGGGAGGCAAGAGGAGGUCAAGGCGAACUCACGUAGGGGGUUUUGAAGGCCGGGGAGUGCAUGGAGUUGGGCUGUCCACGCGGAUGGCGGGCGGCGGUGAUCCUGCAGGGUUCGGCAGCAGUUAGCACGGCUCAGAUCGCACGAGAAAGAGAAUGGAGAGGCUCGGGGACUUCGGAAACUCCACGCGGACCUCGGCGACGAGUCACAGGCCGCGGAGAAGCUUCGAUUGGUGACAAUCGCGACGGCGGCGCUCUUGCUUUUCUCGGCGAGAUCCGAAAGCGAGAUUGAGCGACGGAUAUGGCCUCACGGCUUCAAUAUAAGGGAAUAGGGGAGCACGGGGGAAAGGCUUGACAGUUUUGCAGAGGCUCAGUUCGUUAUUUGGCAUGGAAAUCUCGGCGAAUCGGGGUGGAAACGAAGUUUCCAUCGAACUCGGCUCGGGGUCGCGCUGGGAAGAAAGGGUAGGCGCUGACGCGCGGGGCCCGAAGGUCAGCGAGAAGAAGGAGGGGGAAAGGGAAAGCGCGCGCUGGCGGCUUGGUUGCUGGGCCGGAGGAGCUGGGCCGGGGAAAAGUGCCAGGCCGGGGGAAAGCUGGGCUGGGAGGGGUUGGCUGCGGGGUUCUUUCCCCUUUCUUCUUUUUUUUAUUUUAUUUUUCAAAGCCCUUUUCAAAUAGAAUUUUGAACACAAUUAACUUCAAUCCAAAAUCUCACAGCUCAAAUAAAAAUAUGCCCCAGCAUGAAUGCAAAUUCAUGUUUCUAAACUUAUGAUGAAUUUUAAUUUUAACAAAAAUUAUUUAUUCUCUGAAUUAAAUGCUCACAAAAAUACUUAAAUAAAUCAAAUUAAAUCCUAUUAAUUGAAAUUCAAAUUUUGGGUGUUACAAAUUCUACCCCCCUUAAAAUAAUCUCGUCCUCGAGAUUGAGUAGUGCAUAAACAAACCACUUUGGAUAUGACCUUCUCCAAACAUUCUCUCUGUUUCAAGUUGCUCCUGCCUCUAAAAACCAAUUCCAUUGCACUAGCAAAUUCGAUGUCUCUAAUCAAGUAGCAUACCUGGUAAUCACCUGGAAAUUUAUUCAAUGCAUGAUCUGGAAAAUCAAUAUCAUCAUCCAGCUGGUUUACUGUAGCUGUGGGUGGAGCCUGUACUGCUACGUCAACACUUAUUCUCUCUCCCUUUGGUGUUGUCACAACUACUACUUUCUCUUUGCACUUAAUCUCCGUAGUAUAUUUCUUCAUACAGUCCAAACCCAAUAUCGCAUCUAUGCCUGAGGUUCUCAUAACCAUAGGGCUAACCGGGAAAUCUACCCCCCUUAAAGAGAGACUUGCUGAGGGACAACAAUAAGAAACUGGUAUAGUCCCUCCUGGUGAGUUCACUAGCAUAUUGGUUCUCAUGGCAACUAGUGGAAUGCUAUGAACUCUAACAAAUGCUUGUGAUAUGAAUGUAUGCGAAGCUCCAGAAUCAAAUAAAACUGUAGCUGGAAUAGAGUUGAUACUGAACGUACCCAUCAUAAUCUCUGGUCCCUCUUGUACUGUCUCUGCAGCCACGUGGUUCACUUUUGCUCCAUGAGAAUUAGAUUUUUGAUUGUUGUUCUGCUGGUUGAAUCUCUCCGGGCAAUCAUAUGACAUAUGACCUUCUUUCCCACAGCGAAAACACCUAGUAGGGGUAUUGGAAGCACUUCUCUUCAUAGAGGUGGCAUUUGAAUUUCCCGAGCGAGAAGUCUGUUGUCCACUCUGUUGUUGAUUAGGAUUAUGCUGAGAUUGUUGGUUGCGAUCCCCUUGACUAACUGGUCCCUGGAACCUCUGUUGAUCGCUCUGCUGAGAAUGGUAACGUUGGCGGUUGUUGCCUCCAGAACCUUGAGCUAACAUUCUUCUCUUCUUAUCUUGACCUUUACGCAUGUUAUCCAACACAAUAGCACGGUUUACCAGAGCCUGGAAGGUAGGAUAUGUGUUUCCAGCCAACUGCAACCUAAGUUCAUAGUAAAGACCUUUCAUGAAGAGGCGUUGUUUGUCAGCAUCCUCUCUAACUUCGUUUGGGGCAUAGCGAGCCAACUGCUCAAACAUGUCAUGAUACUCAGCCACAGACAUAGAACCCAUCCUGAGAGAUCUGAAUUCUUCCUGCUUGAGAUCCAUCAUUCCUUCAUUGAUAUGUCGUGCUCUAAAGUCUCUGCAAAACUCCAACCAAGUGACCGGAGGAGCAUUGUUGGGACGAGCCACUUGAUACGACUCCCACCAUGUCUGAGCUGCACCUUGAAGUUGUCCAGAAGCAUACAACACCUUCUCCAAGUCAUUGCACUGUGCUAUGUUUAGUUGCCUCUCCACAGCACGUAACCAAUCAUCUGCCUCCAUAGGAUCAGCUGAGUGUGUAAAUACAGGAGGUCUUCCCUUCAUAAACUCUCCACGCUUGUCCUUCACAUGAACAGGUGGUGGUGUUGGUGGAGGUUGUUGCUGCAAGUGCUGCAUGAAGACGUGCAUCAUCUCAUUUUGAGUCUGCAUGAGUUCCUCCACAGUGAUUGGGAUAUUGUCACCAUUGCCAUUGCCACGGCCUCUGCCUCUGCCUCUGCCUCUUCCCCUUGCUGCCAUCUGCAUUCCAAGGUAUAUAAACACUUCUUAGUAAUGUCCAACAUGACAAUUACAAGAGUUAACGGAAUCUGAAAUUUUCUGGGUAACAUCCAACAUCAGUAGAUCAGAAUAUCAGUCAUAUCUCGAGUUCCAGAACUCAAAAGGAUUCAUGCUGUACACCGUUGGAAAGAUAAAGAAAUUGUCUACAACUUUAAUUUUGAUCAUAUUACCAGAUUCCAACGUGAGUUUAAUCAAAAACUGGGUACAACCGAAACUGUUCCAGAAUUCCAGACUGCGCAGAAACCUCAACUUUGAACAGUCAUAUCUCCCAGCUCAUAACCGAUAAUAUUGUCAUUCUUGAGGCAUUGGAAAGAUAUGAAAGUCCAAUUGUUCCCAGAAACAUUUGAUGAACAUUGCACGAACAGAUUUUGAGAUGCACCAGAUUCUUUGCAGACUGCUCCAGAAAACAGCAAAAGACAGAAACAGAAUUUUCACCAAACCCAACUAUUUAGUUCAUUAAUCCUUAUACCUUAGGCCUAUAGACUAAAUGAAAUUGUAGAGAAAAUCCACAAGAUCAUUACACUCAUUACAAAGAUCCAAAUCAAUCAUGAACAUAAUAACAAACCAAACCAAGCAUCAAAGUUUCACACUUCAAGCAUUGACUCAACUUGCGGUACUAACGUUCUCUUCCUAUUAAGGGUAAAGAUCCUAUAGCUCCUAUUUCAAUGACGUUAGAAGGUGGUAAGAAAAGUUCUAAAAGCAUAUCAAGCAAGGAGUGGGGAUGAGAACAAGUAUUUAAAAUAAGCAACAAGGUGAAGAUGAAUAGCAAUGAAAAGGAUAUAGUAUAGGAGAAAAUAUCAAGGUUCAUAGAAUAAGGAUUUUGUAGCAAUUUCAAAAUCUUAAGACGGCCAAUUUCUAACUAGGCUUGCGUCCGACAGUCAACAAAGCUUUGAUACCAAUUUGUCACACCCAUAUUUUAAGAACAAAAUAGGAUGCAUAAAAGACUCAUAUGUGCCCCAGAAACAGUCGCACACAUAAGUAGACAAAUCUCAAAUGUACCAUUGCAGUGUUUAUUACAUAGCGGAAUAUAAAAUGUCACAUAGUCUCAUACAGAAAUGAUAGCAUAAUGUAAACAAUGCUCUCGACGGAAGCUCCACACAGGGACACUGCUGACUGGUUGACUCCAAACCUAGUACUCAUAGCGAUAAUCCUCAUUCCAGUCAUCUUCAUUAUCAUAUCCUGAGGUGUUGGGAAAUUGCAAGAGUGAGCACAUAUCGUACUCAACAAGUAUAACCAGGGGUUCAUGAGGCUCAAAUAGCUGACACUGGUUUGACUGCAUUAAGCUUUAAAUGGUGGAUAGCAUGCUCAUAAUUAAAUAGCAAUUGUCAAGGUAGCAUAAAUAACCCAUUAAUCCUAUGAUCAAGUGUAAGCAUAAUUAAUUCAUAGCAUAAACGAUAAUCAAAUGAACAUAACAACUUAAUAAGCUCAUCGUCGGCGCAGCAAGAACCCCCAAGGCCGCUCAUAACCGUGAGCACGGCUAGUAUACCAGUUUUACACUCUGCAGAGGUUGUACAUCUUUACCCAUGAGUCAUGAUUUACCCUUUCGCCCGAGGUAGCUAAUCUCUUAACCCCCUUCCUAGGGAGGUCGGCAGGGAUCACUAUGAAGCCUUUCAAAAGUUUGUCUAACAUGUUAGGGCCGCAAGGUUUCCUUUGCGAGCAGAUAUAGAUACCCCCUUCCGAAUGGCACAAUGACGCGCAGCCUAUACACAUAGGGACAGGGCUCGCACUGUACCCGUGUCGGUUCAGCCCCUCUAGCGCCCUUUCGGGUAACCGCUAACAAGCUAGAAAAGGUCUCCAUACUGAGCUAAAGCCAGAGCCAUUAUAGCCCUCAUGGUUGUACUGUUGUCCCGGUGAUCACUUACAGACAAGAUCUCAUACAGUUAUUUGUCAUUCUUUUAUGUUCAUUGCAUAGCUAUUAAUCAUCUUACAAGAUCAUGGAUUAUAUCAAGCACUAGCACAUCUACAACAAAUGCAUAUCAAGUAGGUAGCAAGGAAUCCAGGUAACCAUCAUCUAUGAUUUUGCUAAGGUCGACAAGGUGAUAGCAUGCAUAUGAUGUAUAUGUGUAGUUAUAAGUGAAUAGGUAACAAGGAUGAUCCCAAGUUAUACUUGCCUUGCUCAAAGCUCUCCUGAGCCUGCUGGUCCUCAAAAGAUUGACCUUGAUCACCGACGUACGGCUCACCGUCUAAUCCCAAUCAUCAAUCAACAACACGCAAUCCAAUGUAGACAAUCAUACACGAAGCAAACAAGAUAUAAUUAGAACAAUAUACCAAACAGUGGUAAAACAAAUGUAAAAGUUUAUCAAAAUAUUCUACGCAGCGCUACGAUCAUACAGACGUAAAGUUUACGAAAAUCGGAAUUAAAACGUGAAAGAUAUGAAUUUUCUAAGAUUUCCUAUAGAGAAGUAAAUAAUUAAAUAGAACCAGAAAAUUAAAAAGUUUCAAAACAGUAAACUAAUAUUUCUAACAUGUAGAGAUCGUAAAUACGAAUCUAACGGGAUUUGAAUGGACAAAACGGAGUUAAAAUGAAUAUUUUAUGAGCAAAACAAUAUCAGUGGCAUUUCUGUAAUUAGCUGAAAACGUAAUCUGAGAGCUAUAAGCUAAAAUACGCUUUUAAAACAUGAAAACGUAAACCGGUGAUUACGCCUUGGACCGCGGGUUGGUUAUCAUGUUUUCUAGGGGCUCUUAAGCAAGAUGUACGCCGAAAGGGUAUCGGCCACCCUGGGCCGUUGGAUCAGCAAGAGACGGCUCCGAUUAGAUGCAGGAGAGAGAGAAAGAGGGCUCGGCCACCGGCGGUGACCCCUCGCGGCGGCGCCAUAGACGCUCCCUCCGGAGCUCGCCGGAGUUAGCGGAAAACGUGCCACGGUGAGCCAAACUCCAAACCAAGGGCAUGGGAGGCAAGAGGAGGUCAAGGCGAACUCACGUAGGGGGGUUUGAAGGCCGGGGAGUGCACGGAGUUGGGCUGUCCACGCGGAUGGCCGGCGGCGGUGAUCCUGCUGGGUUCGGCAGCAGUUAGCACGGCUCAGAUCGCACGAGAGAGAGAAUGGAGAGGCUCGGGGACUUCGGAAACUCCACGCGGACCUCGGCGACGAGUCACAGGCCGCGGAGAAGCUUCGAUUGGUGACAAUCGCGACGGCGGCGCUCUUGCUUUUCUCGGCGAGAUCCGAAAGCGAGAUUGAGCGACGGAUAUGGCCUCACGGCUUCAAUAUAAGGGAAUAGGGGAGCACGGGGGAAAGGCUUGACAGUUUUGCAGAGGCUCAGUUCGUUAUUUGGCAAGGAAAUCCCGGCGAAUCGGGGUGGAAACGAAGUUUCCAUCGAACUCGGCUCGGGGUCGCGCUGGGGAAGAAAGGGUAGGCGCUGACGCGCGGGGCCUGAAGGUCAGCGAGAAGAAGGAGGGGGAAAGGGAAGGCGCGCGCGCUGGCGGCCUGGUUGCUGGGCCGGAGGAGCUGGGCCGGGGGAAAGAGCCAGGCCGGGGGAAAGCUGGGCCGCGAGGGGUUGGCUGCGGGGUUCUUUCCCCUUUCUUCUCUUUUUUUUUUAUUUUAUUUUUCAAAGCCCUUUUCAAAUAGAAUUUUGAACACAAUUAACUUCAAUCCAAAAUCUCACAGCUCAAAUAAAAAUAUGCCCCAGCAUGAAUGCAAAUUCAUGUUUCUAAACUUAUGAUGAAUUUUAAUUUUAACAACAAUUAUUUAUUCUCUGAAUUAAAUGCUCACAAAAAUACUUAAAUAAAUGAAAUUAAAUCCUAUUAAUUGAAAUUCAAAUUUUGGGUGUUACAUAAAUAAACUUUGUAGAUCUAAAAAAGUUAUGAAACUUUGUAGUUGAUAACUUUUUGUUUUGAAAUCAUCUUGUCAUGCAAAAACUACAUUUGAAUUUCUUAAAUUUGAAAAUUCUUUGCCGAGUGUUUUUCUUUGACACUCGGCAAAUACCUUCUUUGCCGAGUGUCAAAAAUAAAACACUCGGCAAAGAAAAUUUCAAAUCCAAUUUUGAAGGCCUUAACGAAUUCAAAUCAAAAACUUUUUAACUACAAAGUUGUAUAAAUUCUCAAGAUCUACAACAUUUACUUUGAUCAUUUAUUCAUUUGACAAAGCCAAAACAAAUUUAUUUACAAAUUUUACAUCUCUAUCUUAUAGUUUAUGAAACUACAAGAGAGAUAUAUAAGAUUUGAGAAAAAUAUUAAAAUUACCAUGUCGGAUGAACAUAUGACAAAAUAACCUAAAUAAACUCUGUAGAUCUUGAUAAGUUAUGAAAUUUUGUAUUUGGCAACUUUUUUAUUUGAGUUCAUCUUGUCAUGCAAAACCGCGUUUUUAAUUGAAAAUUUUAAAUUUUGAUUUGUUUUAAACCACCUCGGAUGGAAAAACUCUCUAAAUAAACUUUGUAGAUCUAAAAAAGUUAUGAAACUUUGUAGUUCAUAACUUUUUGUUUUGAAAUCAUCUUGUCAUGCAAACACUACAUUUGAAUUUCUUAAAUUUGAAAAUUCUUUGCCGAGUGUUUUUCUGUGACACUCGGCAAAGACCUUCAUUGCCGGAGUGUCAAAAAUAAAACACUCGGCAAAGAAAGUUUCAAAUCGAAUUUUGAAGGCCUUAACGAAUUCAAAUCAAAAAGUUUUUAACUACAAAGUUAUAUAAAUUUUCAAGAUCUACAACAUUUACUUUGAUCAUUUCUUUAUUUGACAAAGCCAAAACAAAUUUAUUUACAAAUUUUACAUCUCUAUCUUAUAGUUUAUGAAACUACAAGAGAGAUAUAUAAGAUUUGAGAAAAAUAUUAGAAUCACCAUGUCGGAUGAUCAUAUGAUAAAAUAACCUAAAUAAACUCUGUAGAUCUUGAGAAGUUAUGAAAUUUUGUAUUUGGCAACUUUUUUAUUUGAGUUCAUCUUGUCAUGCAAAACCGCGUUUUUAAUUGAAAAUUUUAAAUUUUGAUUUGUUUUAAACAACCUCAGAUGGAAAAACUCUCUAAAUAAACUUUGUAGUCGAUAACUUUUUGUUUUGAAAUCAUCUUGUCAUGCAAACACAACAUUUGAAUUUCUUAAAUUUGAAAAUUCUUUGCCGAGUGUUUUUCUUCGACACUCGGCAAAGACCUUCUUUGCCGAGUGUCAAAAAUAAAACACUCGGCAAAGAAAAUUUCAAAUCGAAUUUUGAAGGCCUUAACGAAUUCAAAUCAAAAAGUUUUUAACUACAAAGUUGUAUAAAUUCUCAAGAUCUACAACAUUUACUUUGAUCAUUUCUUUAUUUGACAAAUCCAAAACAAAUUUAUUUACAAAUUUUACAUCUCUAUCUUAUAGUUUAUGAAACUACAAGAGAGAUAUAUAAGAUUUAAGAAAAAUAUUACAAUCACCAUGUCGGAUGAACAUAUGACUAAAUAACCUAAAUAAACUCUGUAGAUCUUGAGAAGUUAUGAAAUUUUGUAUUUGGCAACUUUUUUAUUUGAGUUCAUCUUGUCAUGCAAAACCGCGUUUUUAAUUGAAAAUUUUAAAUUUUGAUUUGUUUUAAACAACCUCAGAUGGAAAAACUCUCUAAAUAAACUUUGUAGAUCUAAAAAUGUUAUGAAACUUUGUAGUUGAUAACUUUUUGUUUUGAAAUCAUCUUGUCAUGCAAACACUGCAUUUGAAUUUCUUAAAUUUGAAAAUUCUUUGCCGAGUGUUUUUCUGUGACACUCGGUGUCACACCCAUAUUUUAAGAACAAAAUAGGAUGUAUAAAAGACUCAUAUGUGCCCCGGGAUUAGUCUCACACAUAAGUAGACAAAUCUCAAAUGUACCAUUGCAGUGUUUAUUACAUAGCGGAACAUAAUAAAUCACGUAGUCUUAUACAAAAAUGAUAGCAUAAAGUAAGCAACGCUCUCGACGGAAGCUCCACAUAGGGACACUGUUGACUGGUUGACUCCAAACCUAGUACUCAUAGCGGUAAUCCUCAUUCCAGUCAUCUUCAUUGUCAUAUCCUGAGGUGUUGGGAAAUUGCAAGAGUGAGCACAUAUCGUACUCAACAAGUAUAACCAGGGGUUCAUGAGGCUCAAUAAGCUGACACUGGUUUGACUGCAUUUAGCUUUUAAUAAUUGAUAGCAUGUUUAAGCAUUGGAUAGCAAAUAUCAAGGUAGCAUAAUUAAUCCCAUAACCACAUGAUCAAUGUAUACAAGAACUAAGAAUAACACAUAUAAACAACAUACUAAACCAUUAUUUAUCGUUAUUAAUCAUGUUCAUCAGUGUCCAUCUAUUCCGUCAGUUUUCCGGGCCGCCCGUAUCCGUGGGCACGGCUAGUAUACCAGAUUUAACACUCUGCAGAGGUUGUACAUCUUUACCCAUGAGUCAUGAUUUACCCUUUCGCCCGAGGUAGCUAGUCUCUUAACCCCCUUCCAAGGGAGGUCGGCAGGGAUCACUAUGAAGCCUUUCAAAACUUCGUCUAACAAGUUAGGGCCGCAAGGUUUCCUUCGCGAGCAGAUAUAGAUACCCCCCUUCCGAAUGGCACAAUGACGCGCAGCCUAUACACAUAGGGACAGGGGCUCGCACUAUACCCGUGUCGGUUCAGCCCCUCUAGCGCCCUUUCGGGUAACCGCUAACAAGCUAGAAAAGUUCUUCAUACUGAGCUAAAGCCAGAGCCAUAUAGCCCUCAUGGUUGUACGAGUUGUCCCAGCUUUUGCCAAGGGAUAAGUCCUUAUGGAGGGUCAAGAUCAAUCCAGCAAAAGCCAGAGUUCUUUCCACCCUUUAUAUUCAAGUUGCUAGAAAGCUUAUUUUAUUGUUUAUUGUAUAUUCAAAUAUUCAUGUCACAGGGAUCAUGGAUUAAUAAUCAAGCACUAGCAAGAACUACCCAAAUGCAUAUCCAAAUAGGUAACAAGGAAUACAGGUAACAAUCAUCUAUGAUUUUGCUAAGGUCGUCAAGGUGAUAGCAUGCAUAUGAUAAAUGUUAUAUUAAUUGUGUAUAGGUAACAAGGAUAAUCCCAAGUUAUACUUGCCUUGAUCAAAGCUCUCCUGAGCCUGCUGGUCUUCAAAUGCUUGAUCUUGAGCACCAACGUAUGGCUCACCGUCUAAUCCCAAUCAUCAAUCAACAACACGCAAUCCAAUGCAGACAAUCAUACACGAAGCAAACAAGAUAUAAUUAGAACAUUACACCAAUCAGUGGUAAAACAAAUAUAAAAGUUUAUCAAAAUAUUCUACACAGCGCUACGAUCACACAAACGUAAAGUUCACGAAAAUCGGAAUUAAAACGUGGAAGAUAUGAAUUUUGUAAGAUUUCCUAUAGAGAAAUAAUUAAUUAAAUAGUACCAGGAAAUUAAAAAGUUUCAAAACAGUAAACUAAUAUUUCUAACAUGUAGAGCAUGUAAAUACGAAACUAACGCAAUUUGAAUGGGUCAAAUCGGACUUAAAAUGAGCAUUUUAUAACCAAAAGAGUUUCAAUGGCAUUUCUGUAAAUUCUGGAAAGCGUACUUUGAACUAAGGCCUUGUUUACUUCCACCCAAAAUCCAAAAACUUUUCAAGAUUCCUCGUCACAUCGAAUCUUUAGACACAUGUAUGGAGUAUUAAAUAUAAACAAAAAUAAAAACUAAUUAUACAGUUUGGUCGAAAUUUACGAGACGAAUCUUUUGAGCCUAGUUUGUCGAUGAUUGGACAAUAAUUACCACAAACAAACGAAAAUGCUACAGUGCCGCGAAAAAAUUUCGCCCACGAACUAAACAAGGCCUAAACUGAUCGGAAAUACGCUUUUAGACUUGAGACACGUAAACUGGGAAAUACGUAAGCGACCGCGGGUUAAUUUGUAACUCUUCCGAGGGACUCUUUAACAAAUAUGCCAGGCGAAGGGGUAUCGGCUGAUUUCGGCCGUUGGAUUAGAAACGGGCGGCAUCGGGCGCAUCCAGGGUGACGGGCGGUGAUCCGGCUAGCCGGCCCCCCUGCUCCGGCGCGGUGGCGCCAUUGCCGCCCGCAGGAAACUCACCGGAGUUCUUCAUUUUCGCGCUCUGGUGCAUCCCGGAGCAAGGGAAACACAUCGGGAGAUGGAGAAGGACUUCGCGAACUCACCACGACGUUUUUCUUGAGCCGGGAGGGUGCGGGGGUGGCUUGGUGCUCGGCGUGGCGGAGGUUAUCUCCGGCGAGAUCCGAAACUCGCGGUACACGGGCUAGGAUUCGGUUUGGACGGCUUGGACGCGGAAAAGGGUGCUGCGGCGGUAGAAGAGCUUUAUAGGGCUCGAUUUGACCCCCUUUAGCAAGGAAAUCCCGAGUUUUCGGGAUUGAUUCGGCCCCCUGGAAGGAGUCCUGAUCGGAUGCGAGAUGAGGGAGGAGAAAGCGCUGACACGCGGGCCCAAGCUGUCAGCCAGAGGGCGCUGGGUCCCGGUCGUCGGUCACAGAGAGGAAGGGAGAGUGGAGAGACGCGGGCCGCGGGGAAAGGUGGGCCUCGGGAGAGGUUCUGGGCCGCGCGCAGGGGAAAAGAAAAGGAGCAGGCCGGGGGCGAGGGGAGUUGGGCCUCGGCUUGGAUUCCAGGAGCUUUCUCCCUUUUUUUAUUUAUUUCUUUUCUGUUUCUUUUUCCAAAGCCUUUCCAAAUAUAAUUUUGAAAGCACAAAUUAUUUCUAACCAACAGAAAUCAGCACAAAAUAAAAUAUGUCUCGGCAUGAAUGCAAAAGCAUGUUGCUAGCCUUAUGAUGAAUUUUAUUCCCCACAAAAUAAUUUUAUUUGCUAGGUUUAAAUGCUCACAAAAAAAAUACUUAAAUAAAUCAAUUAAUUCCUAUUAUUUGAAAAUCCAAUUUUUGGGUGUUACAAACUCUACCCCCCUUAAAAUAAUCUCGUCCUCGAGAUUGAACGGUGCUUACUCGAAUAGAUAUGAGUAUGACUUCCUCAGAUCAUCCUCUCUUUCCCAAGUUGCCUCUGCUUCCGAAUGCCGAUUCCACUGUACUUUGCACAUUCUGAUGACCCGACUUCUGGUAACUCUCUCAGCUGUCUCCAAUAUUUUGACCGGAUACUCCUCAUAAGUGAGAUCACCUUUAACAGAAAGUUCUUCCAAUGGUAAUUGCUCCUCAGGUACACGCAAACACUUCUUAAGUUGUGACACAUGGAACACAUCGUGCACGCCAGAUAAGCUUUCAGGCAACUCUAACGGAUACGCUACUUCUCCACACCUUUGCAAAACUUUAAACGGACCGACAUACAUCGGAGCCAGCUUUCCUUUCAUAUUAAACCUCUUCACACUCCGCAUAGGUGACACUUUCAGAUAGACAUAAUCACCUUCUUUGAAAGCUAGUUCUCUCCUACAUGUAUCUGCAUAACUUUUCUGACGAGACUGAGCAACUCUCAGAUUAUCCCGGAUAGUCCGCACUUGUUGUUCGGCAUGCCUAAGCACAUCUGCACCAAACACCUGAGUUUCUCCUGUCUGAUUCCAAAACAAAGGUGUCCUGCACUUCCGACCAUAUAGUGCCUCGAACGGUGCCAUCUUAAGACUUUGCUGAUAACUGUUGUUGUACAAAAACUCUGCAUAUGGCAAACUCUUAUCCCAACUGGUUCCAUACUGCAAUGCACAAGCUCUCAACAUAUCUUCCAGUAUCUGAUUGAUCCGCUCGGUCUGUCCAUCCGUCUGUGGAUGAUACGCUGUACUAAAAUUCAACUUCGUCCCCAAGGAAUCAUGCACUGCUUUCCAAAAAGUAGAGGUAAACUGAGUGCCUCUAUCAGAUACAAUCUUCUUGGGCACUCCAUGUAAACAUACUAUCCGCUCCAUAUACAACUCUGCUAGUCGAGCUCCUGAAUCAGUGGUCUUGACCGGCAAGAAGUGAGCAACUUUAGUCAAUCAAUCCACUAUUACCCAUAUUGAAUCAUAUCCUCUCUGUGUACGAGGUAAACCCACUAUGAAAUCCAUGCCUACUUCUUCCCACUUCCAUUCAGGAAUCUUCAUUGGUUGCAACAGUCCAGCUGGUCUCUGGUGUUCAGCCUUCACUCGCUGACAAGUAUCACACAGAGCAACAUAUUCAGCCACGUCUCUCUUCAAACCAUACCACCAGUACUUCUGUUUCAGAUCUAGAUACAUCUUAGUGCUACCAGGAUGAAUGGAAUAUGCUGACUCAUGAGCCUCUCUCAGGAUCAUAUCACAAAUAGCCUUCACUUCAGGAACACAUAUCCUUUUUCCAAACCACAAGACACCAUUGUCAUCUACUCUGAAUCCUGGUGCCUUGCCUAAUACCACAUUCUGUGCUAUCUCCUUUAGUUUCUCGUCUUCCAACUGUCCUUUCAAUAUCUCUUCCUCUAGUGUAGGAGUGAUCUCAACUUCCAUAGCAUUUACUACAAUUCCCAAGUUCAAAUAUGCAAAUUCAGCACACAACUCCUCAGAUUCAGGUGUCGCCCAAAGCUCAUUAGCAUAUUUCUUUCUGCUAAGUGCAUCAGCUAUGACGUUCGCCUUUCUAGGAUGAAAAUGCACUUCCAAAUCAUAAUCCUUUAUCAGUUCCAACCAUCUGCGUUGCCUCAAAUUCAGAUCUGUCUGGGUGAAGAUGUACUUCAAACUCUUAUGAUCAGUGUAUAUGUCACUCUUAUGCCCAAUCAAAUAGUGUCUCCAAAUCUUCAAUGCAUGAACCACAGCUACUAACUCCAAAUCAUGAGUAGGAUAAUUCAGUUCAUGUUUCCUCAACUGUCUAGAUGCAUAAGCAACAACUCUACCUUCUUGCAUAAGAACACAACCCAAACCCAGACGAGAAGCAUCACAAUAGAUAGAGAAACUCUUACUCAGAUCUAGCAAUACCAGCACAGGUGCAGUAGUCAACCUCUUCUUGAAUUCCUCGAAACUAGCUUGGCACUUAUCAGACCAUACAAACUUAGCAUUCUUCUCCAAUAGAGCAGUCAUAGGCUUUGCAAGUUUUGAGAACCCUUCAAUGAAUCUACGAUAGUAACCAGCUAAACCAAGAAAACUGCGAAUUUCACUUACAUCCGUAGGUGGUUUCCAAUUCAGCACCUCUCUCACCUUACUAGGAUCCACUGCAAUACCACCAUUAGAGACAACAUGACCAAGAAAGGAAACUUCCUCCAACCAAAACUCACAUUUACUACGCUUAGCAUACAACUUAUGUUCUCUAAGUUUCUGUAAGACCAAUCUCAGAUGUUCAGCAUGUUCUUCCUUGGUUUUAGAGAAUACCAGAAUAUCAUCAAUAAAGCCUACCACAAACUUAUCAAGAUACUCCAUAAAUACUUUAUUCAUCAUGUACAUAAAGUAAGCUGGUGCAUUGGUCAAUCCAAAAGACAUAACUGUAUACUCAUACAACCCAUACCUUGUUGUGAAAGCUGUCUUUGGUAUAUCUGAAUUCCGAAUCUUCAAUUGAUGAUAACCAGAACGCAAAUCAAUCUUAGAGAACACACAAGCACCUCUUAGCUGAUCAAACAAUUCAUCAAUCCUAGGCAAGGGAUAUUUAUUCUUGAUCGUGACCUCAUUAAGUGACCGAUAAUCAACACACAUCCUCUGACUACCAUCCUUCUUAUCAACAAAGAUAACUGGUGCACCACAUGGUGAUGAACUAGGACGAAUGAACCCAUUAUCUUGCAAUUCCUUAAUUUGGUUCUUAAGUUCUUCAAGUUCAUUAACCCCCAUUCUAUAUGGUCUUUUAGCUAUGGGUGCAGUACCAGGUAGUAAUUCAAUAAUAAAUUCAAUGUCUCGGUCAGGCGGCAUACCUGGCAAUUCAUCUGGAAAGACAUCCGAAAACUCAUCCACUACCAGAUUCUGAGGAUCAACAUCAUCAUUCAGUUGGUUCACUUUGGCUGUGAGUGGUGCUUGCACUGUUACAUCAACACUGAUCCGUUCCCCCUUUGGUGUUGUCAGAGCCACUACUCUCUCCUUGCACUUAAUAUCUGUGUCAUGUUGCUUCAUCCAAUCCAAACCCAAGAUCACAUCUAUGCCUGAAGUUCUCAUAACCAUGGGACUGAUAGGAAAAUCUACCCCCUUAAAGAAAGACUUGCUGAGGGGCAACAUAAAGAAACUGGUAUAGUCCCACCCGGUGAAUUAACUAGCAUAGGGGUUUUCAUUGCAACUAGUGGAAUGCUAUGAACUCUAACAAAUGCUUGUGAUAUGAAUGUAUGCGAAGCUCCAGAAUCAAAUAAAACUGUAGCAGGAAUAGAGUUGAUACUGAACGUACCCAUCAUGAUUUCUGGUCCCUCCUGAACAGUUUCUGCUGCACGUUGUUCACCUUUGCUGAAUUAGGAGUGGAUCUCCGGUCGUUGUACUGUGGAUUAAACUUCUCUGGGCAAUCAUAGGACAUAUGUCCUUCCUUCCCACAACGGAAACACAUGGUAGGAGUGUUAGAAGCACUUCUUUUUGUGGAGUUGGCAUUUGAGUUCCCUGAGCGAGGUGUCUGCUGACCAUGCUGCUGCUGAUUAUAGUUACGUUGCUGGAAUGGAGGACGUUGGUUCUGUUGGGUAUUUUAAACGCAAAUAGAAAAAUCCGCAAGCGCACGGAUACCGAUGUAGCCUUCACCUGGGAGUAUUCCAGAGUAUCGAUUUUCCACAGAGAACGUGAGUGUACUAAUUAAGAUCCAAGAUCGCCCAAGGAUAACUAUAUAAUUGUUUUUGGUGGGAAGAGAGGAAGUUUCCUGAGAGUUCUCUAGUUGAUCUAAGAAUCAAGGAUUACUUCAAGAUUAUCUAUAUCGGGACAUCAGAGCACUAACCACAGAAAGAGAUGAGAAGGGGGCUAGGAAGGUCUGACUACGGUCCUACAAACACCGAUCCGAACGUGGUGGAAUACGUCGACCGUUAGGGCUGUCACUACCCUAAGGCUACCACAACAAUCCGCAGGAUUGGGUGCAAUUCCAGGUAAUUGCAAGACUAAACACCACGUCUAAUCUAUUAAUUACUACUCUAGCGUUAUAAAGACUAGAGCACUUGAUGCAAGCGGGAAUCCAAUAAAUAACUUGAAUGUAAAUAAAAGUAAUUAAAGAACUCAGGAGUUAUGAAUUGAAGAACCUGGAGAACGAUGAAGAACGAACCAGUUGCUGCAAAAGUACAAUGUUGAGGAAGAUCCGACUGAUCCGGCUCCUCCUCCGCUCUCCUCUUCUCUCUCCCUAUUUUCUAGAUUACAACUAGAACUAACUAGAACUAGAACUAGAGGAACUAGAACUAGAACUAGAUGAACUAGAACUAGAUCUAGAUGAACUAGAGGUAGAACUAGAAGAACUAGAGGGAUCCUCUCUACUUGGAUGAAGAAUUGAAACCCUAACUUUGAUUCUGUAGAAGAGGUAUGCCUCCAGGGGCUGGUGGGGGUCUGCUUAUAUAGUCCAGGAAGAGUAGCCCCCAAGAAAUCUAGGAAGAGUAGCCCCUAAGAAAUCUAGGAAGAGUAGCUUCCAAGGAAUUUCCACGUUAUUCUCCACCAUCCGAUCAAACCGACCUUCAUCGUGUGAUUUUUCUCGAUCCUUAGAGUCGGUGGAGCAUAAUCCCCGAGACUCGUGCUGAUUGGCCAGCAGAGGAGGGCGGGCGUCCAGGGGGGUAGGGCGGGCGCCCUGCCUCCGGGCCCGCUCGGCCUCCCGUUCGUUCUCGUGGCUUCUGGAGUCUUCUAGAUGAUAGAAAAUUGCGCGGCACGUUAAUAUCUCUAUGUAAUCCCGACGUGUGGGCCUUUCUUCCGUAUUUCCUGAUAACCCCCUGCAGAAAUAGACAAACACCAAAACUCAUGGAAUUCUAUUAGAUAAAACCCUAAGUCUGGGUGUUGGUUGCAUUUGGAUCCUUUUCCAUGAUUAAUUGAUGGUUAAAUGUGAGCAUUAAGGACCGUCAAUAGGUUCCCACUCUGUGACUGAUUCUGGAAACGCUGGGGUUGCUGGUUGCGGUUCCACUGACUAACUGGUCCCUGGAACUUCUGCUGAUGGCCUUGAUGGGAACUGAAACGCUGACGGUUGUUGCUCCCAGAACCUUGUGCCAGCAUCCUUCUCUUCUUAUCCUGACUCUUCCGCAUAUUAUCAAGCACGAUAGCACGAUUCACAAGAGCCUGGAAGGUAGGAUAGGUGUUUCCAGCCAACUGCAACCUGAGCUCAUAGUACAGACCUUUCAUGAAUAGACGCUGCUUAUCGGCAUCUUCCCUGACAUCAUUCGGAGCAUAGCGAGCCAACUGUUCAAAGGUGUCAUGAUAUUCUGCCACAGUCAUCGAGCCCAUCCUGAGUGAUCUGAAUUCUUCUUGCUUGAGUUCCAUCAUUCCCUCACUUAUAUGUCGAGCUCUGAAGUCUCUACAGAAUUCUAGCCAUGUGACAGGAGGAGCAUUGUUGGGACGAGCAGCUUGAUAUGACUCCCACCAUGUCUGAGCUGCCCCUUGAAGUUGUCCAGAAGCAUACAACACUUUUUCCAUGUCAUUGCACUGGGCUAUGUUCAGUUGCCUCUCUACAGCACGAAGCCAAUCGUCUGCCUCCAUAGGAUCAGCUGAGUGUGUGAACACCGGAGGUCUUCCCUUCAUAAAUUCACCACACUUAUCUCUCACAUGGACAGGUGGUGGUGUUGGUGGAGGUUGCUGCUGUAAGUGCUGCAUGAAGACGUGCAUCAUCUCAUUUUGGGUUUGCAUGAGUUCCUCCACAGUGAUUGGGUCAUUGCCACCAUUGCCAUUGCCACGGCCUCUACCUCUGCCUCUUCCCCUUGCUGCCAUCUGCAUUCCAAGGUAUAUAAACACAUCUUAGUAACGUCCAACAUGACAAUUACAAGAGUUAACGGAAUCUGAAAUUUUCUGGGUGACAUCCAACAUCAGCAGAUCAGAAAAUCAGUCAUAUCUCGAGUUCCAGAAUUCAAAAAGAUACAUGCUGUACACCAUUGGAAAGAUAAAGAAAUUGUCUACAGCUUUAAUUUAGAUCAUAUUACCAGAUUCCAAAGUUAGGUUAAUCAAAAACUGUGUACAACCGAAACUGUUCCAGAAUUCCAGACUGCGCAGAAACCUCAACUUUAAACAGUCAUAACUCACAGCUCAUAAUAGAUAAUAUGGUCAUUCUUGCGGAAUUGGAAAGAUAUGAAAGUCUACUUGUUCCCAGAAAAAUUAGAUGAACAGUGCACGAACAGAUUUUGAUUUAUACCAGAAUCAUUGCAGACUGCUCCAGAAAAACAGCAAAAGACAGAAACAGGAUAUGACCCCAAACCACUAUUUAUUCAUGUUCUUACUUAAGGUUUUUAACUAGGGAACUUGUGGAUAUGCCCACAAGAUUCCAGCACUCAUUACAAAAAUCCAAAUCAAGCAUAAGCAUAAUAACAAACCAAACCAAACAACAAAAGUUCACACUUCAAGCAAUGACUCAACUUGCGGUACUAACGUUCUCUUCCUAUUAAGGGUGAAGAUCCUAUAACUCCUAUUCCAAUGACGUUAGAAGGUGGUAAGAAAAGUUCUAAAAGCAUAUUCAAUGCAAGGAGUGGUGAUGAGAACAAGUCUUUUAAAAUAAGCAACAAGGUGAAGAUGAAUAGGAUAUAGUGUGGAAGAAAAUAUCAAGGUCUAUAGAGCAAGGAUUUAUAGCAAUUUCGAAACCUUAAGUCGACCAAUUUCUAACUAGGCUUGCGUCCGACAGUCAACAAAGCUUUGAUACCAAUUUGUCACACCCAUAUUUUAAGAACAAAAUAGGAUGUAUAAAAGGCUCAUAUGUGCCCCGGGAUUAGUCGCACACAUAAGUAGACAAAUCUCAAAUGUACCAUUGCAAUGUUUAUUACAUAGCGGAACAUAAUAAAUCACGUAGUCUUAUACAAAAAUGAUAGCAUAAAGUAAGCAACGCUCUCGACGGAAGCUCCACACAGGGACACUGUUGACUGGUUGACUCCAAACCUAGUACUCGUAGCGGUAAUCCUCAUUCCAGUCAUCUUCAUUGUCAUAUCCUGAGGUGUUGGGAAAUUGCAAGAGUGAGCACAUAUCGUACUCAACAAGUAUAACCAGGGGUUCAUGAGGCUCAAUAAGCUGACAUUGGUUUGACUGCAUUUAGCUUUUAAUAAUUGAUAGCAUGUUUAAGCAUUGGAUAGCAAAUAUCAAGGUAGCAUAAUUAAUCCCAUAACCACAUGAUCAAUGUAUAUAAGAACUAAGAAUAACACAUAUAAACAACAUAAUAAACCAUCAUUUAUCGUUAUUAAUCAUGUUCAUCAGUGUCCAUCUAUUCCGUCAGUUUUCCGGGCCGCCCGUAUCCGUGGGCACGGCUAGUAUACCAGAUUUAACACUCUACAGAGGUUGUACAUCUUUACCCAUGAGUCAUGAUUUACCCUUUCGCCCGAGGUAGCUAGUCUCUUAACCCCCUUCCAAGGGAGGUCGGCAGGGAUCACUAUGAAGCCUUUCAAAAGUUCGUCUAACAAGUUAGGGCCGCAAGGUUUCCUUCGCGAGCAGAUAUAGAUACCCCCCUUCCGAAUGGCACAAUGACGCGCAGCCUAUACACAUAGGGACAGGGGCUCGCACUAUACCCGUGUCGGUUCAGCCCCACUAGCGCCCUUUCGGGUAACCGCUAACAAGCUAGAAAAGUUCUUCAUACUAAGCUAAAGCCAGAGCCAUAUAGCCCUCAUGGUUGUACGAGUUGUCCCAGCUUUUGCCAAGGGAUAAGUCCUUAUGGAGGGUCAAGAUCAAUCCAGCAAAAGCCAGAGUUCUUUCCACCCUUUAUAUUCAAGUUGCUAGAAAGCUUAUUUUAUUGUUUAUUGUAUAUUCAAAUAUUCAUGUCACAGGGAUCAUGGAUUAAUAAUCAAGCACUAGCAAGAACUACCCAAAUGCAUAUCCAAAUAGGUAACAAGGAAUACAGGUAACAAUCAUCUAUGAUUUUGCUAAGGUCGUCAAGGUGAUAGCAUGCAUAUGAUAAAUGUUAUAUUAAUUGUGUAUAGGUAACAAGGAUAAUCCCAAGUUAUACUUGCCUUGAUCAAAGCUCUCCUGAGCCUACUGGUCUUCAAAUGCUUGAUCUUGAGCACCAACGUAUGGCUCACCGUCUAAUCCCAAUCAUCAAUCAACAACACGCAAUCCAAUGCAGACAAUCAUACACAAAGCAAACAAGAUAUAAUUAGAACAUUACACCAAUCAGUGGUAAAACAAAUAUAAAAGUUUAUCAAAAUAUUCUACGCAGCGCUACGAUCACACAAACGUAAAGUUCACGAAAAUCGGAAUUAAAACGUGGAAGAUAUGAAUUUUGUAAGAUUUCCUAUAGAGAAAUAAUUAAUUAAAUAGUACCAGGAAAUUAAAAAGUUUCAAAACAGUAAACUAAUAUUUCUAACAUGUAGAGCAUGUAAAUACGAAGCUAACGCAAUUUGAAUGGGUCAAAUCGGACUUAAAAUGAGCAUUUUAUAACCAAAACAGUUUCAAUGGCAUUUCUGUAAAUUCUGGAAAGCGUACUUUGAACUAAACCGAUCGGAAAUACGCUUUUAGACUUGAGACACGUAAACUGGGAAAUACGUAAAGGACCGCGGGUUAAUUUGUAACUCUUCUCAGGGACUCUUUAACAAAUAUGCCAGGCGAAGGGGUAUCGGCUGAUUUCGGCCGUUGGAUUAGAAACGGGCGGCAUCGGGCGCAUCCAGGGUGACGGGCGGCGAUCCGGCCAGCCGGCCCCCCUGCUCCGGCGCGGUGGCGCAAUUGCCGCCCGCAGGAAACUCACCGGAGUUCUUCAUUUUCGCGCUCUGGUGCAUCCCGGAGCAAGGGAAACACAUCGGGAGAUGGAGAAGGACUUCGCGAACUCACCACGACGUUUUUCUUGAGCCGGGAGGGUGCGGGGGUGGCUUGGUGCUCGGCGUGGCGGAGGUUAUCUCCGGCGAGAUCCGAAACUCGCGGUACACGGGCUAGGAUUCGGUUUGGACGGCUUGGACGCGGAAAAGGGUGCUGCGGCGGUAGAGAAGAGCUUUAUAGGGCUCGAUUUGACCCCCUUUAGCAAGGAAGUCCAGAGUUUUCGGGAUUGAUUCGGCCCCCUGGAAGGAGUCCUGAUCGGAUGCGAGAUGAGGGAGGAGAAAGCGCUGACACGCGGGCCCAAGCUGUCACCCAGAGGGCGCUGGGUCCCGGUCGUCGGUCACAGAGAGGAAGGGAGAGUGGAGAGACGCGGGCCGCGGGGAAAGGUGGGCCUCGGGAGAGGUUCUGGGCCUCGCGCAGGGGAAAAGAAAAGGAGCAGGCCGGGGGCGAGGGGAGUUGGGCCUCGGCUUGGAUUCCAGGAGCUUUCUCCCUUUUUUUUAUUUAUUUCUUUUCUGUUUCUUUUUCCAAAGCCUUUCCAAAUAGAAUUUUGAAAGCACAAAUUAUUUCUAACCAACAGAAAUCAGCACAAAAUAAAAUAUGUCUCGGCAUGAAUGCAAAAGCAUGUUGCUAGCCUUAUGAUGAAUUUUAUUCCCCACAAAAUAAUUUUAUUUGCUAGGUUUAAAUGCUCACAAAAAAAAUACUUAAAUAAAUCAAUUAAUUCCUAUUAUUUGAAAAUCCAAUUUUUGGGUGUUACACUCGGCAAAGACCUUCUUUGUCGAGUGUCAAAAAUAAAACACUCUGCAAAGAAAAUUUCAAAUCGAAUUUUGAAGGCCUUAACGAAUUCAAAUCAAAAAGUUUUUAACUACAAAGUUAUAUAAAUUUUCAAGAUCUACAACAUUUAGUUUGAUCAUUUCUUUAUUUGACGAAGCCAAAACAAAUUUACUUACAAAUUUUACAUCUCUAUCUUAUAGUUUAUGAAACUACAAGAGAGAUAUAUAAGAUUUGAGAAAAAUAUUAGAAUCACCAUGUCGGAUGAACAUAUGACAAAAUAACCUAAAUAAACUUUGUGGAUCUUGCGAAGUUAUGAAAUUCAGUAUUUGGCAACUUUUUUAUUUGAGUUCAUCUUGUCAUGCAAAACCGCGUUUUUAAUUGAAAAUUUUAAAUUUUGAUUUGUUUUAAACAACCUCAGAUGGAAAAACUCUCUAAAUAAACUUUGUAGAUCUAAAAAAGUUAUGAAACUUUGUAGUCGAUAACUUUUUGUUUUGAAAUCAUCUUGUCAUGCAAAAACUACAUUUGAAUUUCUUAAAUUUGAAAAUUCUUUGCCUAGUGUUUUUCUUUGACACUCGGCAAAGACCUUCUUUGCCGAGUGUCCAAAAUAAAACACUCGGUAAAGAAAAUUUCAAAUCGAAUUUUGAAGGCCUAAACGAAUUCAAAUCAAAAAGUUUUUAUCUACAAAGUUGUAUAACUUCUCAAGAUCUACAACAUCUAUUUUGAUCAUUUCUUUAUCUGACAAAGCCAAAACAAAUUUAUUUACAAAUUUUACAUCUCUCUUAUAGUUUAUGAAACUACAAGAGCGAUAUAUAAGAUUUUAGAAAAAUAUUAGAAUGUAAAUGUCGGAUGAACAUAUGACAAAAUAACCUAAAUAAACUCUGUAGAUCUUGAGAAGUUAUGAAAUUUUGUAUUUGGCAACUUUUUUAUUUGAGUUCAUCUUGUCAUACAAAACCGCGUUUUUAAUUGAAAAUUUUAAAUUUUGAUUUGUUUUAAACAACCUCGGAUGGAAAAACUCUCAAAAUAAUCUUUGUAGAUCUCAAAAAGUUAUGAAACCUUGUAGUUGAUAACUUUUUGUUUUGAAAUCAUCUUUUCAUGCAAAAACUAUAUUUGAAUUUCUUAAAUUUGAAAAUUUUUUGCCGAGUGUUUUUCUUCGACACUCGGCAAAGACUUUCUUUGCCGAGUGUCAAAAAUAAAACACUCACCAAAGAAAAAUUCAAAUCGAAUUUUGUAGGCCUAAACGAAUUCAAAUUAAAAAGUUUUUAUCUACAAAGUUGUAUAACUUCUCAAGAUCUACAACAUUUAUUUUGAUCAUUUCUUUAUCUGACAGAGCCAAAACAAAUUUAAUUACAAAUUUUACAUCUCUCUCUUAUAGUUUAUGAAACUACAAGAGAGAUAUAUAAGAUUUUAGAAAAAUAUUAGAAUCAUCAUGUCGGAUGAACAUAUGACAAAAUAACCUAAAUAAACUCUGUAGAUCUUGAGAAGUUAUGAAAUUUUGUAUUUGGCAACCUUUUUAUUUGAGUUCAUCUUGUCAUGCAAAACCGCGUUUUUAAUUGAAAAUUUUAAAUUUUGAUUUGUUUUAAACCACCUCGGAUGGAAAAACUCUCUAAAUAAACUUUGUAGAUCUAAAAAAGUUAUGAAACUUUGUAGUUGAUAACUUUUUGUUUUGAAAUCAUCUUGUCAUGCAAAUACUACAUUUGAAUUUCUUAAAUUUAAAAAUUCUUUGUCGAGUGUUUUUCCGUGACACUCGGUAAAGACCUUCUUGCCGAGUGUCAAAAAUNNNNNNNNNNNNNNNNNNNNNNNNNNNNNNNNNNNNNNNNNNNNNNNNNNNNNNNNNNNNNNNNNNNNNNNNNNNNNNNNNNNNNNNNNNNNNNNNNNNNGACAUAUGUCAGGCGACCGUGGGCACGGCUAGUAUACCAGAUUAACACUCUACAGAGGUUGUACAUCUUUACCCAUGAGUCAUGAUUUACCCUUUCGCCCGAGGUAGCUAGUCUCUUAACCCCCUUCCAAGGGAGGUCGGCAGGGAUCACUAUGAAGCCUUUCAAAAGUUCGUCUAACAAGUUAGGGCCGCAAGGUUUCCUUCGCGAGCAGAUAUAGAUACCCCCCUUCCGAAUGGCACAAUGACGCGCAGCCUAUACACAUAGGGACAGGGGCUCGCACUAUACCCGUGUCGGUUCAGCCCCACUAGCGCCCUUUCGGGUAACCGCUAACAAGCUAGAAAAGUUCUUCAUACUAAGCUAAAGCCAGAGCCAUAUAGCCCUCAUGGUUGUACGAGUUGUCCCAGCUUUUGCCAAGGGAUAAGUCCUUAUGGAGGGUCAAGAUCAAUCCAGCAAAAGCCAGAGUUCUUUCCACCCUUUAUAUUCAAGUUGCUAGAAAGCUUAUUUUAUUGUUUAUUGUAUAUUCAAAUAUUCAUGUCACAGGGAUCAUGGAUUAAUAAUCAAGCACUAGCAAGAACUACCCAAAUGCAUAUCCAAAUAGGUAACAAGGAAUACAGGUAACAAUCAUCUAUGAUUUUGCUAAGGUCGUCAAGGUGAUAGCAUGCAUAUGAUAAAUGUUAUAUUAAUUGUGUAUAGGUAACAAGGAUAAUCCCAAGUUAUACUUGCCUUGAUCAAAGCUCUCCUGAGCCUACUGGUCUUCAAAUGCUUGAUCUUGAGCACCAACGUAUGGCUCACCGUCUAAUCCCAAUCAUCAAUCAACAACACGCAAUCCAAUGCAGACAAUCAUACACAAAGCAAACAAGAUAUAAUUAGAACAUUACACCAAUCAGUGGUAAAACAAAUAUAAAAGUUUAUCAAAAUAUUCUACGCAGCGCUACGAUCACACAAACGUAAAGUUCACGAAAAUCGGAAUUAAAACGUGGAAGAUAUGAAUUUUGUAAGAUUUCCUAUAGAGAAAUAAUUAAUUAAAUAGUACCAGGAAAUUAAAAAGUUUCAAAACAGUAAACUAAUAUUUCUAACAUGUAGAGCAUGUAAAUACGAAGCUAACGCAAUUUGAAUGGGUCAAAUCGGACUUAAAAUGAGCAUUUUAUAACCAAAACAGUUUCAAUGGCAUUUCUGUAAAUUCUGGAAAGCGUACUUUGAACUAAACCGAUCGGAAAUACGCUUUUAGACUUGAGACACGUAAACUGGGAAAUACGUAAAGGACCGCGGGUUAAUUUGUAACUCUUCUCAGGGACUCUUUAACAAAUAUGCCAGGCGAAGGGGUAUCGGCUGAUUUCGGCCGUUGGAUUAGAAACGGGCGGCAUCGGGCGCAUCCAGGGUGACGGGCGGCGAUCCGGCCAGCCGGCCCCCCUGCUCCGGCGCGGUGGCGCAAUUGCCGCCCGCAGGAAACUCACCGGAGUUCUUCAUUUUCGCGCUCUGGUGCAUCCCGGAGCAAGGGAAACACAUCGGGAGAUGGAGAAGGACUUCGCGAACUCACCACGACGUUUUUCUUGAGCCGGGAGGGUGCGGGGGUGGCUUGGUGCUCGGCGUGGCGGAGGUUAUCUCCGGCGAGAUCCGAAACUCGCGGUACACGGGCUAGGAUUCGGUUUGGACGGCUUGGACGCGGAAAAGGGUGCUGCGGCGGUAGAGAAGAGCUUUAUAGGGCUCGAUUUGACCCCCUUUAGCAAGGAAGUCCAGAGUUUUCGGGAUUGAUUCGGCCCCCUGGAAGGAGUCCUGAUCGGAUGCGAGAUGAGGGAGGAGAAAGCGCUGACACGCGGGCCCAAGCUGUCACCCAGAGGGCGCUGGGUCCCGGUCGUCGGUCACAGAGAGGAAGGGAGAGUGGAGAGACGCGGGCCGCGGGGAAAGGUGGGCCUCGGGAGAGGUUCUGGGCCUCGCGCAGGGGAAAAGAAAAGGAGCAGGCCGGGGGCGAGGGGAGUUGGGCCUCGGCUUGGAUUCCAGGAGCUUUCUCCCUUUUUUUUAUUUAUUUCUUUUCUGUUUCUUUUUCCAAAGCCUUUCCAAAUAGAAUUUUGAAAGCACAAAUUAUUUCUAACCAACAGAAAUCAGCACAAAAUAAAAUAUGUCUCGGCAUGAAUGCAAAAGCAUGUUGCUAGCCUUAUGAUGAAUUUUAUUCCCCACAAAAUAAUUUUAUUUGCUAGGUUUAAAUGCUCACAAAAAAAAUACUUAAAUAAAUCAAUUAAUUCCUAUUAUUUGAAAAUCCAAUUUUUGGGUGUUACACUCGGCAAAGACCUUCUUUGUCGAGUGUCAAAAAUAAAACACUCUGCAAAGAAAAUUUCAAAUCGAAUUUUGAAGGCCUUAACGAAUUCAAAUCAAAAAGUUUUUAACUACAAAGUUAUAUAAAUUUUCAAGAUCUACAACAUUUAGUUUGAUCAUUUCUUUAUUUGACGAAGCCAAAACAAAUUUACUUACAAAUUUUACAUCUCUAUCUUAUAGUUUAUGAAACUACAAGAGAGAUAUAUAAGAUUUGAGAAAAAUAUUAGAAUCACCAUGUCGGAUGAACAUAUGACAAAAUAACCUAAAUAAACUUUGUGGAUCUUGCGAAGUUAUGAAAUUCAGUAUUUGGCAACUUUUUUAUUUGAGUUCAUCUUGUCAUGAAAACCGCGUUUUUAAUUGAAAAUUUUAAAUUUUGAUUUUUUUAAACAACCUCGAGAUGGAAAACUCUCUAAAUAACUUUCUAGAUCUGAAAAAGUUANNNNNNNNNNNNNNNNNNNNNNNNNNNNNNNNNNNNNNNNNNNNNNNNNNNNNNNNNNNNNNNNNNNNNNNNNNNNNNNNNNNNNNNNNNNNNNNNNNNNUGUUUUGAAAUCAUCUUGUCAUGCAAACACAACAUUUGAAUUUCUUAAAUUUGAAAAUUCUUUGCCGAGUGUUUUUCUUCGACAAUCGGCAAAGACCUUCUUUGCCGAGUGUCAAAAAUAAAACACUCGAGAAAGAAAAUUUCAAAUCGAAUUUUGAAGGCCUUAACGAAUUCAAAUCAAAAAGUUUUUAACUACAAAGUUGUAUAAAUUCUCAAGAUCUACAACAUUUACUUUGAUCAUUUCUUUAUUUGACAAAGCCAACACAAAUUUAUUUAAAAUUUUACAUCUCUAUCUUAUAGUUUAUGAAACUACAAGAGAGAUAUAUAAGAUUUGAGAAAAAUAUUAGAAUCACCAUGUCGGAUGAACAUAUGACAAAAUAACCUAAAUAAACUCUGUAGAUCUUGAGAAGUUAUGAAAUUUUGUACUUGGCAACUUUUUUAUUUGAGUUCAUCUUGUCAUGCAAAACCGCGUUUUUAAUUGAAAAUUUUAAAUUUUGAUUUGUUUUAAACAACCUCAGAUGGAAAAACUCUCUAAAUAAACUUUGUAGAUCUAAAAAAGUUAUGAAACUUUGUAGUCGAUAACUUUUUGUUUUGAAAUCAUCUUGUCAUGCAAAAACUACAUUUGAAUUUCUUAAAUUUGAAAAUUCUUUGCCUAGUGUUUUUCUUUGACACUCGGCAAAGACCUUCUUUGCCGAGUGUCCAAAAUAAAACACUCGGUAAAGAAAAUUUCAAAUCGAAUUUUGAAGGCCUAAACGAAUUCAAAUCAAAAAGUUUUUAUCUACAAAGUUGUAUAACUUCUCAAGAUCUACAACAUCUAUUUUGAUCAUUUCUUUAUCUGACAAAGCCAAAACAAAUUUAUUUACAAAUUUUACAUCUCUCUCUUAUAGUUUAUGAAACUACAAGAGCGAUAUAUAAGAUUUUAGAAAAAUAUUAGAAUGUAAAUGUCGGAUGAACAUAUGACAAAAUAACCUAAAUAAACUCUGUAGAUCUUGAGAAGUUAUGAAAUUUUGUAUUUGGCAACUUUUUUAUUUGAGUUCAUCUUGUCAUACAAAACCGCGUUUUUAAUUGAAAAUUUUAAAUUUUGAUUUGUUUUAAACAACCUCGGAUGGAAAAACUCUCAAAAUAAUCUUUGUAGAUCUCAAAAAGUUAUGAAACCUUGUAGUUGAUAACUUUUUGUUUUGAAAUCAUCUUUUCAUGCAAAAACUAUAUUUGAAUUUCUUAAAUUUGAAAAUUUUUUGCCGAGUGUUUUUCUUCGACACUCGGCAAAGACUUUCUUUGCCGAGUGUCAAAAAUAAAACACUCACCAAAGAAAAAUUCAAAUCGAAUUUUGUAGGCCUAAACGAAUUCAAAUUAAAAAGUUUUUAUCUACAAAGUUGUAUAACUUCUCAAGAUCUACAACAUUUAUUUUGAUCAUUUCUUUAUCUGACAGAGCCAAAACAAAUUUAAUUACAAAUUUUACAUCUCUCUCUUAUAGUUUAUGAAACUACAAGAGAGAUAUAUAAGAUUUUAGAAAAAUAUUAGAAUCAUCAUGUCGGAUGAACAUAUGACAAAAUAACCUAAAUAAACUCUGUAGAUCUUGAGAAGUUAUGAAAUUUUGUAUUUGGCAACCUUUUUAUUUGAGUUCAUCUUGUCAUGCAAAACCGCGUUUUUAAUUGAAAAUUUUAAAUUUUGAUUUGUUUUAAACCACCUCGGAUGGAAAAACUCUCUAAAUAAACUUUGUAGAUCUAAAAAAGUUAUGAAACUUUGUAGUUGAUAACUUUUUGUUUUGAAAUCAUCUUGUCAUGCAAAUACUACAUUUGAAUUUCUUAAAUUUAAAAAUUCUUUGUCGAGUGUUUUUCCGUGACACUCGGUAAAGACCUUCUUUGCCGAGUGUCAAAAAUAAAACACUCGGCAAAGAAAGUUUCAAAUCGAAUUUUGAAGGCCUUAACGAAUUCAAAUCAAAAAGUUUUUAACUACAAAGUUAUAUAAAUUUUCAAGAUCUACAACAUUUACUUUGAUCAUUUCUUUAUUUGACAAAGCCAAAACAAAUUUAUUUUCAAAUUUUACAUCUCUAUCUUAUAGUUUAUGAAACUACAAGAGAGAUAUAUAAGAUUUGAGAAAAAUAUUAGAAUCACCAUGUCGGAUGAUCAUAUGACAAAAUAACCUAAAUAAACUCUUGAGAAGUUAUGAAAUUUUGUAUUUGGUAACUUUUUUAUUUGAGUUCAUCUUGUCAUGCAAAACCGCGUUUUUAAUUGAAAAUUUUAAAUUUUGAUUUGUUUUAAACAACAUCGGAUGGAAAAACUCUCUAAAUAAACUUUGUAGAUCUAAAAAAGUUAUGAAACUUUGUAGUUGAUGACUUUUUGUUUUGAAAUCAUCUUGUCAUGCAAACACAAUAUUUGAAUUUCUUUAAUUUGAAAAUUCUUUGCCGAGUGUUUUUCUUCGACACUCGGCAAAGACCUUCUUUGCCGAGUGUCAAAAAUAAAACACUCGGCAAAGAAAAUUUCAAAUCGAAUUUUGAAGGCCUUAACGAAUUCAAAUCAAAAAGUUUUUAACUACAAAGUUGUAUAAAUUCUCAAGAUCUACAACAUUUACUUUGAUCAUUUCUUUAUUUGACAAAGCCAAAACAAAUUUAUUUACAAAUUCUACAUCUCUAUCUUAUAGUUUAUGAAACUACAAGAGAGAUAUAUAAGAUUUGAGAAAAAUAUUAGAUUCACCAUGUCGGAUGAACAUAUGACAAAAUAACCUAAAUAAACUCUGUAGAUCUUGAGAAGUUAUGAAAUUUUGUACUUGGCAACUUUUUUAUUUGAGUUCAUCUUGUCAUGCAAAACCGCGUUUUUAAUUGAAAAUUUUAAAUUUUGAUUUGUUUUAAACAACCUCAGAUGGAAAAACUCUCUAAAUAAACUUUGUAGAUCUUAAAAAGUUAUGAAACUUUGUAGUCGAUAACUUUUUGUUUUGAAAUCAUCUUGUCAUGCAAACACAACAUUUGAAUUUCUUAAAUUUGAAAAUUCUUUGCCUAGUGUUUUUCUUUGACACUCGGCAAAGACCUUCUUUGCCGAGUGUCAAAAAUAAAACACUCGGCAAAGAAAGUUUCAAAUCAAAUUUUGAAGGCCUUAACGAAUUCAAAUCAAAAAGUUUUUAACUACAAAGUUAUAUAAAUUUUCAAAAUCUACAACAUUUACUUUGAUCAUUUCUUUAUUUGACAAAGCCAAAACAAAUUUAUUUACAAAUUUUACAUCUCUAUCUUAUAGUUUAUGAAACUACAAGAGAGAUAUAUAAGAUUUGAGAAAAAUAUUAGAAUCACCAUGUCGGAUGAACAUAUGACAAAAUAACCUAAAUAAACUCUGUAGAUCUUGGGAAGUUAUGAAAUUUUGUAUUUGGCAACUUUUUUAUUUGAGUUCAUCUUGUCAUGCAAAACCGCGUUUUUAAUUGAAAAUUUUAAAUUUUGAUUUGUUUUAAACAACCUCGGAUGGAAAAACUCUCUAAAUAAACUUUCUAGAUCUAAAAAAGUUAUGAAACUAUGUAGUUGAUAACUUUUUGUUUUGAAAUCAUCUUGUCAUGCAAACACAACAUUUGAAUUUCUUUAAUUUGAAAAUUCUUUGCCGAGUGUUUUUCUUCGACACUCGGCAAAGACCUUCUUUGCCGAGUGUCAAAAAUAAAACACUCGGCAAAGAAAGUUUCAAAUCAAAUUUUGAAGGCCUUAACGAAUUCAAAUCAAAAAGUUUUUAACUACAAAGUUAUAUAAAUUUUCAAAAUCUACAACAUUUACUUUGAUCAUUUCUUUAUUUGACAAAGCCAAAACAAAUUUAUUUACAAAUUUUACAUCUCUAUCUUAUAGUUUAUGAAACUACAAGAGAGAUAUAUAAGAUUUGAGAAAAAUAUUAGAAUCACCAUGUCGGAUGAACAUAUGACAAAAUAACCUAAAUAAACUCUGUAGAUCUUGGGAAGUUAUGAAAUUUUGUAUUUGGCAACUUUUUUAUUUGAGUUCAUCUUGUCAUGCAAAACCGCGUUUUUAAUUGAAAAUUUUAAAUUUUGAUUUGUUUUAAACAACCUCGGAUGGAAAAACUCUCUAAAUAAACUUUCUAGAUCUAAAAAAGUUAUGAAACUAUGUAGUUGAUAACUUUUUGUUUUGAAAUCAUCUUGUCAUGCAAACACAACAUUUGAAUUUAUUUAAUUUGAAAAUUCUUUGCCGAGUGUUUUUCUUCGACACUCGGCAAAGACCUUCUUUGCCGAGUGUCAAAAAUAAAACACUCGGCAAAGAAAAUUUCAAAUCGAAUUUUGAAGGUCUUAACGAAUUCAAAUCAAAAAGUUUUUAACUACAAAGUUGUAUAAAUUCUAAAGAUCUACAACAUUUACUUUGAUCAUUUCUUUAUUUGACAAAGCCAAAACAAAUUUAUUUACAAAUUUUAUAUCUCUAUCUUAUAGUUUAUGAAACUACAAGAGAGAUAUAUAAGAUUUGAGAAAAAUAUUAGAAUCACCAUGUCGGAUGAACAUAUGACAAAAUAAUCUAAAUAAACUCUGUAGAUCUUGAGAAGUUAUGAAAUUUUAUACUUGGCAACUUUUUUAUUUGAGUUCAUCUUGUCAUGCAAAACCGCGUUUUUAGUUGAAAAUUUUAAAUUUUGAUUUGUUUUAAACAACCUCAGAUGGAAAAACUCUCUAAAUAAACUUUGUAGUCGAUAACUUUUUGUUUUGAAAUCAUCUUGUCAUGCAAAAACUACAUUUGAAUUACUUAAAUUUGAAAAUUCUUUGCCGAGUGUUUUUCUUUGACACUCGGCAAAGACCUUCUUUGCCGAGUGUCCAAAAUAAAACACUCGGCAAAGAAAAUUUCAAAUCGAAUUUUGAAGGCCUAAACGAAUUCAAAUCAAAAAGUUUUUAUCUACAAAGUUGUAUAACUUCUCGAGAUCUACAACAUUUAUUUUGAUCAUUUCUUUAUCUGACAAAGCCAAAACAAAUUUAUUUACAAAUUUUACAUCUCUCUCUUACAGUUUAUGAAACUACAAGAGAGAUAUAUAAGAUUUUAGAAAAAUAUUACAAUGUAAAUGUCGGAUGAACAUAUGACAAAAUAACCUAAAUAAACUCUGUAGAUCUUGAGAAGUUAUGAAAUUUUGUAUUUGGAAACUUUUUUAUUUGAGUUCAUCUUGUCGUGCAAAACCGCGUUUUUAAUUGAAAAUUUCAAAUUUUGAUUUGUUUUAAACAACCUCGGAUGGAAAAACACACAAAAUAAACUUUGUAGAGCUCAAAAAGUUAUGAAACUUUGUAGUUGAUAACUUUUUGUUUUGAAAUCAUCUUGUCAUGCAAAAACUACAUUUGAAUUUCUUAAAUUUGAAAAUUUUUCGAGGAGUGUUUUUCUUCGACACUCGGCAAAGACUUUCUUUGCCGAGUGUCAAAAAUUUUUCGAGGAGUGUUUUUCUUCGACACUCGGCAAAGAAAAUUUCAAAUCGAAUUUUGAAGGCCUAAACGAAUUUAAAUCAAAAAGUUUUUAUCUACAAAGUUGUAUAACUUCUCAAGAUCUACAACAUUUAUUUUGAUCAUUUCUUUAUCUGACAGAGCCAAAACAAAUUUAUUUACAAAUUUUACAUCUCUCUCUUAUAGUUUAUCAGAAAAUAUGGAGAGAAGGCCCACAUGUCAUGUUUACAACGAGAUAAUUACGUGCCGCGCAAUUUUCCUCAAUCUACAAGAAUCCAGAAGCCACGGGAACGAACGAGAAGGGAUUCGGGCUCGGGGGCAGGGCGCCCGCCCACCCCCCCUUGGGCGCCCGCCCAGGGUAGGAGUCCAAUCAGGACUCUGCUUCGGGACUACGCUCCACCGACCUAAAGGAUCAAUCUAAACCAUACAAUCUAUGUCGGUUUGAUCCAAUGGCUCACGUUCACUUGAGAGGACUAUAAAACCAGACCCCCUGGCCCAUGGAGGAGAGAGGAGAAAUCAAUAUUCAGAGGUAGCCAUCAAAGUUAGGGUUUAGAGCUUCUCUCCCACAGAGAAUUAGAAUUAGCUACUCCCUAAUCCUUCAAGUUUAGAGGUUGAUUAGAUAGCAAUUAGAGAAGUAGAGCACUACGCUCUGGAUUCGUAUCUUCGGUAAUAAAGAUUGGUAUUAUUCAUAUCUUUCUCUAAUUCUUUAUUCUAAUUGCAUUAUGUCUCUAAUUAUUAUGUUCUUAGUUUGCUCUAGUUCUAUAUUUGAUAUAGUUCUAAUUGAUAAUGAGUUUUUGUAUAAGUUUGCAAACCGCUUAGCUCUUGACGCGAGGGAGUUAGGUGACAGAUCACAUGUGAGCGUGGUGCUUAGAUGUUAUUUAUCUGCAAAUGUAUCCUAUUGGCCGGGUCGUGUGGUAGUUCGCGAUAGUGACAGCUUCGUUGAUUCUUAUAUAGUCCACCCUCCGUUGAUAGGACAGGCAGAACCGGUAUUGUGGAGUAAGUCAUGCGAUGCUCUGAUUUACUUUAUCAAUGUUCCUUAUACAUGAAUGAAGAGUCUUUUAUGCUAUAUAUGAUCUUGUAGAUAACUAGAGUAGAUUAUGACUUAGUAGUUAGUAGAUAACUUAGAAUCCAUUCUCUAGCUAAUCCGACAUCACCUACAUAUAUGAGGAGUAGUCUAUUUUCUAAUCGCGGUGUUAUCUACCCAUGAACUUAUAAUUCAUUAUCAUUAUCUUUAUGGUUUACCCCCUGCUAAAGUAAGUGACUGUGUGACGAGUUUCUCAUUAGUAAUCAUGUUCUUGCAAGUUUAUCUCUAGUUUAUGCCUUGAUAGAUUUUGCCCCUUUGAUUUAAUUUCAUCUUCUUGAGAUCCCUUGAGCAAAAUUAUAAAUAACGAUACCUGAAAUACUUAUCCUGGUGAAAUGCUACAAUGAGGUGUUUUAUCUGUGCGCUUGCGGAUAGAAUAGAUUAUUUUCUAGAGAGCCUUUACAUUUAUAAAUACCUUUGUACACUCUGGCGCCAUGCUAGGGAUGACAACCUAGUAUCUAAGUGGUGUUAGCUAGUGGCAACAAGCAUUUCUGGCGCCGUUGCCGGGGAACUUAUAGGAAUUUAUACGAGUCUCAGGAAUAAGUCAUAAAAGGGAACAAAAGGGUAAUGCCUAGGAAAGCCAGAAAAUCAAUCAAGGUUAUUCAUAUAAAAUAUUAGACUAGACUAUAGAGAAAUAAUUGCAUAAAAACAGCUACUAAGUGAGAAAUCGUAACAAGGCACCUCUGCUUUGGCAGGUUCACCCUGUUGUUUUUCUAUGUUUAUAUUUUUAUACAGGGUAUAACAGGAUUGACUUUGGGUACAUUCAACUCUUCAUCAUCAGAACCAAAGCAAUCAAGAGAAGAAGAAGCUAGCUACCAAUUGCUGAAGCUAUGGCAUAAAAGACCUUGCAAGAAUUCUCUGCUCCAAGUCUUGACAACAUUCCAACCGGUCCAAGAUUUGCAGUAGAAGAAGGAAUACCCGAGUUUGAGCUCAAGUCAAGCCUCAUCAAUUUGGUGCAAGCUACACAAUUCAGUGGAAAGGCACAUGAAUAUGCUAGUGCACACUUGCAGAAUUUCUUAGAGAUUGGAAGCACAAUCCACAUCAAUGGAGUUGACAAAGAUGUCAUACUACUUCGUCUUUUUCCAUUCUCACUAGAAGGAAAAGCGAGGAAGUGGUUCUACACUCAUCAAGAUAACAUCAACAACUGGACGAACUUGUCAGAUGCCUUUCUAUCAAAGUUUUUCCCUAUAGGCAAAACAACUGCCUUAAGAGGAAAUAUUGUCAGUUUCCAACAACAGAAGAUAGAAGCCAUUUCAGAAGCAUGGGAGCGUUUUCAAGGAUACAUAUCAGAUUGUCCUCACCAUGGAAUGGCCACAUGGUUACUUAUGCAGACCUUCUACCAUGGAUUAACCCAGAAGGCUCGUGAGUGCCUAGAUGUAUCUGCAAAAGGAUCAUUCUUGGAGCUUACAACUGGAAAAGCAGAGAUACUUUUGGAUAAGAUAGCAGAAAACCAAAGCUGGUUCCAAGAUAAAGCUCAACAAUGUCAUCAAACUGAAGAAAUACCAGAAGAAGUAAAUGCAUUAUCAACUAAGAUGGAAAAUUUGCUCCAUUGGAUUGACCAGAGGGCCAAGUUCAAAGAAGAUCAAAGGGCCAUUGAGACAGCAUACAAAUAUCAACCAACUUCGAGUCAACCCAAUAGCAAAGGUAUGAAUUCAGGUAAUACUGUCAAACAACUUUCAUUAAAAGAGAUAAUUGCUCAACAAACCAAAAUUAAUGAUGAAGUUAAACAAAGGCUAGAUACAAAUGAAUCAUCUCUAAAAGAUAUAUACAAUAAAAUGGAUUUUCUACUAACUGCCUUUGAUGAGCAAAACACUCUUAAUAAAAGGGUAGAGCUUAAAUUAAUAAAAUUAGCUGCUGCACUGCCUGUUGCUACUAACCUUGAGCAGGUAAAGAAUAUAACUACUAGAGGAGGCAAAGCUACCAGAGAUCCACCAUACCCAAAAGAGAAACAAAGAACAUUAGCACCAGUGCAACCAGCAGUGAUAGAAGAAGAAAGCCCAGUUGAAGCAGAAGACCUGCUCCAACCACCAAGAACUGGAGAAAUGAGGAAAGAUUUUUACGACACCAACUAUUUGCCAUUUCCCAGAAGAAACAGAGGACUGCAGUCGGAUGAGCAGUUUGGUAAGUUUGUAGAGGUCAUUCAGAAAUUAUAUGUCAACAUACCUCUGCUCGAUGCCAUACAGGUACCUACAUAUGCAAAGUACAUCAGAGAUAUUCUUAACAAGAAGAGGCCACUGCCCACCACUGAGGUUAUCAAGCUGACAGAAGAAUGUAGUGCGGCCAUCCUCAAUAAACCACCAAAGAAGAAGGAAGAUCAUGGAUGUCCCACUAUUGAUUGCUCGAUCGGAAACCAACACUUCAACAAUGCACUUUGAGCAAGUGUCAGUGUGAUGCCAGCAUCAGUCUACAAAAAGCUUGAGCAUGCGACCCUAGAACCAACAUCAAUGUGCCUACAACUAGCGGAUCAAUCGGUUCGACACCCGUUGGGCAUCACCGAGAACAUUCCAGUCAAGAUCAGAGAUUUCCUGGUGCCAGUAGACUUCGUAGUAUUAGACAUGAGUCCUGACUCAAAAGUGUCCAUCAUCCUUGGAAGGCCAUUUAUGAGCACUGCCAAUGCCCACAUUGAUGUCGGAAAAGGAGAAAUCAAGUUCAACAUAAACGGUCAAGAAGAACACUUCACAUUCAAACCCAGACCAGAGAGAGACUCUACAGUGAAGGAAGUUCAUGAAGAACCACUGGAGACACCAUCUCCAGAGGAAGGUAAUUGAAGAUUAAAAGAAUUGGAGGUCCAGCUUGGGGGACCUAAAAAUCCCAAACCCUCAACGGGAGGUAAAUCGGUAAUUAUCCGCAUUAUUAAUUUUCUCAUAUUUAAAUUCUUGAAUAAUUAAUUCUUGCAUUAGUCAUGGCAUUAUUAUAAUAAUCAAAAAAGCCCCGUAUAAAUAAUAUUCGUGGUGUGUAACAACCCAUAUUUAUUAAUUAUUGUGGAGGCACAAAAAUAUUUUCCAUUAUCAUUUUAAUUAAGUUUUAAUAGAUUUUCCUGCAUUAUAUUUAAUUAUAUUAAUCUUCUAGAAGCAUGACCCACACUCCUUGGGUCCCACAUGCCAUACACCACACCUCACAUGCAUCCCAUCACAUAAUUUCAUCCACCAAUAUGUUUCCACUCAAACAACCACCACACAACAUUAUUCUGCGUGAGAUCAAAGCAAGGAAGCAAGUGGAGGAGGCACACCCAGGAUGGACACCAGGAGUGGGCGCCCGCCCACCUACCAAGGGCGCCCGCCCUGCUCCCUCUUCCUCCUAUAAAAGGCCACCUCCAGCUCCCCUUCUCUUCACACAAACACUCCAGAAAACCACACAAGCCUCAGUUUCUCGAGAAGGAGUUCUUGUAGUGAAGAGAAAAGAGUAGAGAGAAAGAGAAGAGUGGAAGAGAAGGUUGGGAGUUCUUUUGAGAGAGUGAUUAUCACCUAGCAAGUAGUGAUCCCGUUGUCUAAGCGGAAGUAAAAGUUGUUUAGGGGAAGCUCUACCAAAAUAGAAAUUUAUCUUGAACGAUUAACCCCUGGACUACUGACACUCCGGAUAGCUGACCACUAACAUUUUCUCUCACAUUUUCCACUAGUUGUGUUUUUUUUUCUCCAAUUUUUGUUUACAGGAUGUUUAAGAAGGUGAAGAAUGCAGGAAGAGCUCUCAAGAACAUUGGUACAAGGAGUUGAGCUCGACACUCCUCACAGCCAUAAGAGAUGAGCGUCGACCCGACACCCACACAAGCUCCAUCAUCUUCAUCAGGUCAGCAAGUUAAGGUCCUUCUCAAGAUAGGAGACCUUGGACUGAAGACCCGAAGAGAGAAGGAAGUCUAUCAGCAAUUGAAGAACAAAGAUUUCAUUCACACCCCUACUAUCGAUCCAAUCUUACUACAAGAAACAGGUAUGGACACUGAAUUUGACUUAAUUUUCCAGAUGUUAGGUUGGAUAAAUUUUUGGAAUAUAACUGAGCUGGGUUCUCGUCUUCUCACCCUCGAAUUUCUUUGCACUUUACAAUACUAUGAGGGGAGAAUUGUUUUUCGGAUGUUUAAACAAGAAAUUAUGUUAUCUUGGAGAGAACUGAGCGACCAUCUUGGUUUCUCUUCAAGAUGCAUCCUGAACAUUGACUCCGAUUUACCCAAUUUUGAGAGACACCAGUUUUGGAGAGAAAUAUCUAGAGAUAAUUUUUACAGUCAAGCCCGAACCAGUGACAUGGAACACCCUACUCUUAGGAUGUUCCACAAAUGGCUUGGGUACAAUCUUUUCUAUCGUAAUGAUAUUAGGAAAGUAAGAGUAGGAGAUUUACAACUUUUAUAUGCUGCUAUUAGUAAAAUACCCACUUCACCUGUUACACUAUUAGUUUCACAUUGGCUUAGUAUACCUAGUCUUCAGGGACCAGUAGGAUGUACUUCACUUAUCGCUCGUCUAGCUUCUAAUCUUCACUUACUAGAAAACUCAUCGUUGGAUUUCAUAGAAGAAUUAAGAAUUUAUCAUGGCUAUGACACAUUUAGACAAGCUCGGAUGUUAAAGAAAGAGGGAAAUGUAAUGUAUAUGCUAUAUGAUGAUAAAGGCAAGAUUCGGUUACCUAACCCGAACCUUGGCCUCUACAUUGUGCAAAACUUUUUGAUUGAGAUUGCAGCAACACCAGUGAACCAGAGAACUCCACAGCGAGUGGCUUCCGAAAGGAUAACCACUCACCGAGAACGCACCUGGUAUGGAGCUGACCCUGAAGAAGCAGUGCACCUGCAUUAUUGUGAUUACAACCCUUGAGUCCUUCGAGACCCAUGGGCUCGACAUGCGCAACCACAAGAGCCAACAGAAGAGACAUGGCCGGAGAGCCAAGAUCACCAGUGGACAAACCCGCCUUUUCAUACGGGCAGGUACUCCACUGAUCCAUACGGAGCUUCAGGAUCCAGACCUCCGCCCCAAUUUGAUGCAGGACGAUACUCCGACGCCUCCUACGCUUUCACAAAUGACUACUAUCAAGAGGCCGGUGCUUUCUUCACUCGUACCGACAACACCCUCCUCGACAUCCAGAAUACGCAAGCAGAACAUGGAAGACUCCUGGAAGAACAACAAAAAUGGAACCAGGACCAUGUAGCUGCAGUAGAAGAGCUGAGACAAGAUACAACAACAAUGAACGACAACAUUACAACCAUGAUGCGGUUCUGGAACAUCGGGUAAGACCGACGGCAACAUCUAGCUUGGGGGAGUUCCUCCCCAAUUUAUCAAGUAAGUUUCUAUUUACUCUUCUUAUUUAUUCUUUUCUAUUUUAUCUUAAGGAGAAAAAAAAUUUAGAAAACCAAAUAAAUAUUUUCUUGCUUUAAUUUACUGCAUUUUAAUAAACAUGAAAAUAAAAUAAAAAGAGUGUGUAGAUAAGUGUGCUUUAUUUUUCUGCUAAGUUUAAUCUCUAAAAAUAUAUAUAUAUAAAGACCAAAAAGAUGCAUGAUGGAAAUGAUGAACAAUUGCUCUGUUUGCUUACUUACAAGUACCUAGCUUUUAUAUUAGAAUUCUUCCAGGAAUUACUAAAACUAAAAUUACUAUCUUUGGGAAGCAUAAAACUAAAGUCUAGGUAAGAGAAAGGCAUGAUAUAAAGUUGAGCUACUGUUUAUCCUGUUUCUACUACACUAAGUUCUGGAGAUUUAUUUUGAAAACUUACAAAUCACAUGAUGAGUUCCUAGCAUACAAAACUACCUACCACAGCCAUACUUCCUAUAACAUCUUUUACUAUAUUCACAUUGAGUUUGAUCGAGCUGUGUAGACCCUUAGGAGCUUUUCAUGUGGUUAAAUUAAGAUAUUCACUUGCACACAUCGACCACAGCAUCCAUCAUUAAUCAUUAAAAUUGCUAAAAAUAUUUUUACUCACUGUCCCGAAUAUUAUUAUUCUCUCUCUCUAAAAAGAUUCAAUGCAGAAGAGGCAUGGGUUAUGCAAAAAUAUGCGAGGAAAUAAAAAGGGGCAAGUGCCCGGAACCUCGAUAAAGAAAAAAAAGAGUGAGACGAGAGGUAAAAAUGGACAAGUGUCCGAAGUAGAAUUAGGGGUACAAAGAUGCCCACUUGAGCGGAAAAAAUGGACAAGUGUCCGACAGUAGAAUUAGGGGUAUCUACCACCCACCUGAAAAAAAAGAGAAAAAAGAAAGAAAAGAUAGCCCAUGUUUUCCAAAAGCAAAGAUCAAAGAAGAGGAGAGAUAGCAAUAUGAGGAGCAAUGAGAACUAAGUUUUAUUAACACUUAUACAUUUUCACCAUCACUAUCAUUUACUCCACCACACAUGCACAUCUUGAUUUAAUUAUAUGCUGAGUUCCUUUGGAUCCAUGGCUCAAUUAGACAAUAUAUGUAUGAGCUGUUUUUCACUCCUAUGAGCUCCACUUAAAUAUUCCAUUAGCUAUAGGUAAGUGACAUUAUGGUAAGGAUCCACAAAUACCACAUAUAGAGAGACUUGAGAGAAUCAUUGCUGGGAACUCUGAGUUUUAUUUUGAAAACUUAUAAAAAACUCUAGAACAAAGGUGAAGUAUAGACAGGAGGGAUAGUGCUUGACUUAACUAUUUUGUCUUUUGAUUACUUAAUACUUAAGUGCAGGUUCUAAACUCCAUAACACUUCACUCUAAUCUGGAAGAAUUUUAUGUAAAAGCAUGUGUGCCUGUCAGGAAAGAAAACAUCGAAGCAACUCCUGAUCCGUCUGAGUUUAGCUGUUUGCUCAGGGACGAGCAAAGGGUAAGCUUGGGGGAGUUUGUUGACGGUCCUUAAGUACUAAAAUUAAUAAUCAAAUAAACAUGAAAAAGGAUCAAUAUGAAACAAACAUCUAGAAUUAGGGUUUUAUCUGACAGAAUUCCACGAGUUUUGGUGUUUAUCUAUUUCUGCAGGGGUUUAUCAGAAAAUAUGGAGAGAAGGCCCACAUGUCAUGUUUACAACGAGAUAAUUACGUGCCGCGCAAUUUUCCUCAAUCUAGAAGAAUGCAGAAGCCACGGGAACGAACGAGAAGGGAUUCGGGCUCGGGGGCAGGGCGCCCGCCCACCCCCCUUGGGCGGCCGCCCAGGGUAGCAGUCCAAUCAGGACUCUGCUUCGGGACUACGCUCCACCGACCUAAAGGAUCAAUCUAAACCAUAUAAUCUAUGUCGGUUUGAUCCAAUGGCUCACGUUCACUUGAGGGGACGAUAAAACCAGACCCCCUGGCCCCUGGAUGAGAGAGGAGAAAUCAAUAUUAAGAGGUAGCCAUCAAAGUUAGGGUUUAGAGCUUCUCUCCCACAGAGAAUUAGAAUUAGCUACUCCCUAAUCCUUCAAGUUUAGAGGUUGAUUAGAUAGCAAUUAGAGAAGUAGAGCACUACGCUCUCGAUUCGGAUCUUGGGUAAUAAAGAUUGGUAUUAUUCAUAUCUUUCUCUAAUUCUUUCUUCUAAUUGCAUUAUGUCUCUAAUUAUUAUGUUCUUAGUUUGCUCUAGUUCUAUAUUUGAUAUAGUUCUAAUUGAUAAUGAGUUUAUGUAUAAGUUUGCAAAUCGCUUAGCUCUUGACGCGAGGGAGUUAGGUGAUAGAUCAUAUUUGAGCGUGGUGCUUAGAUGUUAUUUAUCUGCAAAUGUAUCCUAUUGGCCGGGUUGUGUGGUAGUUCGCGAUAGUGACAGCUUCGUUGAUUCUUAUAUAGUCCACCCUCCGUUGAUAGGACAGGCAGAACCGGUAUUGUGGAGUAAGUCAUGCGAUGCUCUGAUUUACUUUAUGAAUGUUCCUUAUACAUGAAUGAAGAGUCUUUUAUGCUAUAUAUGAUCUUGUAGAUAACUAGAGUAGAUUAUGACUUAGUAGUUAGUAGAUAACUUAGAAUCCAUUCUCUAGGUAAUCCAACAUCACCUACAUAUAUGAGGAGUAGUCUAUUUUCUAAUCGCUGUGUUAUCUACCCAUGAACUUAUAAUUCAUUAUCAUUAUCUUUAUGGUUUACCCUCUGCUAAAGUAUGUGACUGUGUGACGAGUUUAUCAUUAGUAAUCAUGUUCUUGCAAGUUUAUCUCUAGUUUAUGCCUUGAUAGAUUUUGCCCCUUUGAUUUAAUUUCAUCUUCUUGAGAUCCCUUGAGCAAAAUUAUAAAUAACGAUACCUGGAAUACUUAUCCUGGUGAAAUGCUACAAUGAGGUGUUUUAUCUAUGCGCUUGCGGAUAGAAUAGAUUAUUUUCUAGAGAGCCUUUACAUUUAUAAAUACCUUUGUACACUCUGGCGCCACGCUAGGGAUGACAACCUAGUAUCUAAGUGGUGUUAGCUAGUGUCAACACUUAUCAUGCAAAACCGCGUUUUUAAUUGAAAAUUUUAAAUUUUGAUUUGUUUUAAGCAACCUCGGAUGGAAAAACUCUCUAAAUAAACUUUGUAGAUCUCAAAAAGUUAUGAAACUUUGUAGUCGAUAACAAUUUGUUUUGAAAUCAUCUUGUCAUGCAAAAACUACAUUUGAAUUUCUUAAAUUUGAAAAUUCUUUGUCGAGUGUUUUUCUUUGACACUCGGAAAAGACCUUUUUUGCCGAGUGUCAAAAAUAAAACACUCGGCAAAGAAAAUUUCAAAUCGAAUUUUGAAGGCCUUAACGAAUUCAAAUCAAAAAGUUUUUAACUACAAAGUUGUAUAAAUUCUCAAGAUCUACAACAUUUACUUUGAUCAUUUCUUUAUUUGACAAAACCAAAACAAAUUUAUUUAUAAAUUUUACAUCUCUCUCUUAUAGUUUAUGAAACUACAAGACAGAUAUAUAAGAUUUUAGAAAAAUAUUAGAAUCACCAUGUCGGAUGAACAUAUGACAAAAUAACCUAAAUAAACUAUGUAGAUCUUGAGAAGUUAUGAAAUUUUGUAUUUGGCAACUUUUUUAUUUGAGUUCAUCUUGUCAUGGAAAACCACGUUUUUAAUUGAAAAUUUUAAAUUUUGAUUUUUUUUAAACAACCUCGGAUGGAAUACUCUCUAAAUAAACUUUGUAGAUCUGAAAAAGUUAUGAAACUUUAUAGUUGAUAACUAUUUGUUUCGAAAUCAUCUUGUCAUGCAAAAACUAUAUUUGAAUUUCUUAAAUUUUAAAAUUCUUUGCCGAGUGUUUUUCUUUGACACUCGGCAAAGACCUUCUUUGCCGAGUGUCAAAAAUAAAACACUCGGCAAGGAAAAUUUCAAAUCAAAUUUUGAAGGCCUAGACGAAUUCAAAUUAAAAAGUUUUUAACUACAAAGUUGUAUAACUUCUCAAGAUCUACAACAUUUAUUUUGAUCAUUUCUUUAUUUGACAAAGCCAAAAUAAAUUUAUUUACAAAUUUUACAUCUCUCUCUUAUAGUUUAUGAAACUACAAGAGAGAUAUAUAAGAUUUUAGAAAAAUAUUAGAAUCACCAUGUCGGAUGAACAUAUGACAAAAUAACCUAAAUAAACUCUGUAGAUCUUGAGAAGUUAUGAAAUUUUGUAUUUGGCAACUUUUUUAUUUGAGUUCAUCUUGUCAUGCAAAACCGCGUUUUUAAUUGAAAAUUUUAAAUUUUGAUUUGUUUUAAACAACCUCGGAUGGAAAAACUCUCUAAAUAAACUUUGUAGAUCUCAAAAAGUUAUGAAACUUUGUAGUUGAUAAUUUUUUGUUUUGAAAUCAUCUUGCCAUACAAAAACUAAAUUUGAAUUUCUUAAAUUUGAAAAUGCUUUGCCUAGUGUUUUUCUUUGACACUCGGCAAAGACCUUCUUGGCCCACUGUUAAAAAUAAAACACUCGGCAAAGAAAAUUUCAAAUCGAAUUUUGAAGGCCUAAACAAAUUCAAAUCAAAAAGUUUUUAACUACAAAGUUGUAUAACUUCUCAAGAUCUACAACAUUUAUUUUGAUCAUUUCUUUAUCUGACAAAGCCAACAUAAAUUUAUUUACAAAUUUUACAUCUCUCUUAUAGUUUAUGAAACUACAAGAGAGAUAUAUACGAUUUUAGAGAAAUAUUAAAAUCACCAUGUCGGAUGAACAUAUGACAAAAUAACCUAAAUAAACUCUGUAGAUCUUGAGAAGUUAUGAAAUUUUGUAUUUGGCAACCUUUUUAUUUGAGUUCAUCUUGUCAUGCAAAACUACGUUUUAAUUGAAAAUUUUAAAUUUUGAUUUUUUUAAACAACCUCGGAUGAAAAAACUCUCUAAAUAAACUUUGUAGAUCACAAAAAAUUAUGAAACUUUGUAGUUGAUAACUUUUUGUUUUGAAAUCAUCUUAUCAUGCACAAACUAUAUUUGAAUUUCUUAAAUUUGAAAAUUCUUUGCCGAGUGUUUUUCGUCGACACUCGGCAAAGACCUUCUUUGCCGAGUGUCAAACAUAAAACACUCGGCAAAGGAAAUUUCAAAUCGAAUUUUGAAGGCCUUAACGAAUUCAAAUCAAAAAGUUUUUAACUACAAAGUUGUAUAAAUUCUCAUGAUCUACAACAUUUAUUUUGAUCAUUUUUUUAUUUGACAAAGCCAAAACAAAUUUAUUUACAAAUUUUACAUCUCUCUCUUAUAGUUUAUGAAACUACAAGAGAGAUAUAUAAGAUUUUAGAAAAAUAUUAGAAUGUAACACCCUAAAAAUUCUCUUGUUUUAAAUAGUUGAAUUUAAUUUAUUGAGUCAAUUUUGUGAGCAUCAAAAUAUAGGAAAAGUAAAUAAAUUUUGGGAAAUUAAAAUUAAGUUUAAGUUUAGAAUAAUAUUUUUGUUGCAUGCAUGCUGGUGCAUUUUAUUGUGAUGUUUGUUAAGAAAACAAAAUGUCUUUUGCUCAAGAAUUUUUUUGAAGAAAAAGAAAUGCUAUUGGAAAAUGUGUUUGAAAAAGAAAAUUGAAAUUCUUUUCCUCCCCCUCCUCUUCUUCUUUCGGCCUUUUGGCCCAGUCCCCCCCCCCCCCGCGCCCUCUCCCCCUUUCUCCUUCCUGGGCCGGGCCCAGCCGACCUCCUUUCCCUUCCCCUCUCUCGCACCGCCCGCCCCUGCUCCCUCCCUCUCCCCCUACUGGAACCGCAACCUGAGCCGGCCCCCGCUCCCCCACGACCCUCCUCUCUCCCCCGCGCCUCGCGUUAAAGUGGGCAGAGCCGCGCCAAACUGUCCUCCCCCUCCCAUUCCUUUCCCCUCGCUCCUUCUCCACUCGCGUGGGCUCUGAGAAGCAUCGCCAAAGCGCCGCCGGCGACCUCCACGUGAAAUCCAUCGAAUCGAGCCUUUCUCGCCCGCUUCUUCGCGCUGGUGAGCUCCCCUCUUCCUCCGCUUCGUCCUCGUCUAAUUUCCUCACGAAACGAAGCGCUCAUCCGUGCUAGCCGUGUGCUCCGGCCAUGGAGCGUGCCACUCGGGCGCCCCCCGGCCGCGCUAGGGCCUUAGUUGGACUCGCCUUCACUUCCUCUUUCGCCCGGUGCAUUCGGAAUUGGAAACCGAGCCCUGUAGCGCUCGGGAGACCUACUCCGGCGAGCUCCUCGCCGCCGGCAAUGGAGCUCCGCCGCGUCCUCUCCCUGCUCCGGCAGCCGCGCUCUCCCCCCUCUCUCUCAUUUUUUUUCUUCUCAUCUCAGCCGUUGAAAUCCAAUCCAACGAUCCAGAGCGCCCGAUACCCCUUCGGGUUCCUUUUUGUUAAAGAAACCACCUAGAACUUAGUAUUUGUACCCGCAGUCCUUAGCGUAUUCGUUAGAAUUGCACCUUGCUGAUUAGGAAGCGUAAACUCCAUCGGUUUAGGUCAAAACGCGCUUUCAGAAAUUUACAGAUUUGCCCCUGCAUUGUUUUGGCCAUAAAAUAUUCGUUUUAGCUCCGAUUUGACCCGUUCAAAUUGCGUUAGAUUCAUAAUUAAAUUCUCUACAUGUUAGUACCACUGUUACUGUAGUUUGAAACUUUUUAUUUUUAGGCUUAGGUUUAAUUAAUUAAAUUGCUAUAGAAAAUCGCUGUAAAUUCGUAACUUUGUCGUUUAAGCUCCGAUUUUCGUGAUCUUCGUAUUCAUGUGAUCGUAGCAAAACGUACGUUCUGUUUUUAGAUAUUUUAUUUUGUUUUUUUAUCUGUUGGUGUACUGUUCUAAUUAAAGGAUUGUUUGCUUGUAUGUUUGGAACUUGGAUGUGUGUUGUUGUGUGGUGUCGAUUGAGCGCAGACGGUGACGUGACCGUGUGUGAUCCGUUUACUCCGAGGGGCAGCAGGACCAGUAGGAGCAAUUGGAUCAAGCCAAGUAUAGCAUUUGGGUUUUAAUUCUAUGACCAUGAUCUUAUGACUAGAUUAAUAUAAAGCAACAAAUGAUAAUAAUGACUUUUUAGCAACUUGAGGAUUUAUUCGUAAGUGAUUACCGGGAUGAAAGUGCAACCAAGAGGGCUAUGAUGGCUCUGGCUUUAGUCAAGUAUGAGUAAUUUUUUUAGCUGGUUAGUGGUUACCCGUGUGGCGCAAAUGGGGGAUAGCAGACCGUGGAUUCCCUGCGGGGUAGAAUCACACGGACUGACUACCAAAACCAAGCGGCGCUAACUUGUUAGACGAACCAUUGAAAGACUUCAUAGUGAACCUUGCCGGCCUCCCUUGGAAGGGGGUUAAGAGGUUAGCUACCUUGGGCGAAAGGGUAAAUCAUGUCUCAUGGGUAAAGAUGUACGACUUCUGUAGAGUGUUUAAUAAACUGGUAUACUAGCCGUGCUCACGGUCACGAGCGGCCUUGGGGAUUCUUACAUUAAGGGUGAUGAAUCUUGUUGUGUUAAGAAACUCAUUGUUUAUUGUUUAAUGCUCUAUAUUAUUUAUGUCACAUUGAUCAUGAAACCCCUAUACCCUUACGGCUAGACUUGGGCCAGGAGGCUUGGCCCAUUACGAGACGAGUUCAAGGCUUGAUCCGACAACCUGGAGUUUCGCGCAAGGAAACAAGAUGUGGAGAUCAAGCAGGAUUCUAGUCGGUUAGAAUAGGAAUUGAUAUCGAAUUAUCCAUGGCAAUUGUAACCGACUAGGAUUAGUUUCCAGAUCUGUAACCCUGCCCUCCAGACUAUAUAAGGAGGGGCAAGGGACCCCCCUACGGCACAUCAUAUUCUCUCAACACAAAUCAAUACAACCAGACGCAGGACGUAGGUAUUACGCCAACUCGGCGGCCGAACCUGGAUAAAAAGCUUGUCCGUGUCUUGCGUCACCAUCAAGUUCGUAGUUUGCGCACCGUCUACCGAUAAACUACUACCGUGGGUAUACCCCAAGGUAGACUGCCGACUAGCUUUCGUCGACAGUGGCGCGCCAGGUAGGGGGUGUGCGUGCAACUUUUCCGGCGAACAAGAUGGUCACGAUCCCAGCUUCCGCGACCGUGCCCGAAGGCCUCACGUUCACCGUCGGCCAGAUCACGUGGACGACGUGCAACGGCGGUUUUGCGACCACGGUUCCGAAAGAGAUCCAGAUCCAAUCUGAGAUCACGCCGUCUCCGACCACACGCGUGACGGCACCAAGCUCCCGACCACCGUUCCCGCUCUACAGGGGAAAGGAGAUCGACUGCUCGGGCCUCCUCCAAGCGCUCGAUCGCGCUGACUCCAAGCUACUCGAAGUCUCCCAACUAAUAGAUGGAGUUCUGCGCCGGCCCGACCAAGCUGCUCGAGCGGAUUUUUCGAAAUUCCGCCGGCCAACUCGUGUCGCCACACACGAACGGCUGGGAACGUCCCUGACGAUAACCUCGACCCCCUCAGGACGAUCCGCCGAGCUCAAAAAGGAAGACUAUCCUUGCGGCCUGAGCAACUCGGCCUCUGUUUACUCACAGCAUGUCCAAUCCGUUUUUAGCAAAGCGGGCUGGUCGCCGACAAGGAACAAUCGUCACCAUGUCAACAUGGUGACCAUCCGAGAGCUACGGGACGGCCAGGUUUCUAGCACCAACUCAAGCACCGGCUCCGUCCCCACCGAGGUUGUGAAUACCGAAGACGAGGGCUACGACCUGGAUUUUCCUUCACACCCUCCGGGUUUCGACCGAUUCCCGAUAUUCCCCCCCGGCGAGGGGAUAUCGUAUUCAAUGUCAGCGCCGACGAACCGGCUGUUGACGGAGAAACAGACGACCAGAGGCAACUCCGCGAACAGCGUAACGCCGAUCGCGCCCGACGGCGUGCGGACGAGCAACAACAGACGCCACCAGGCAACCUCAACGAUGCCUUUGAUAUGGUCGGAGACCAGCCAGUCUACAAAACGCCAAGCGCCAACGUGGCUGUCGCCAUGGCCAACCUGGAUCGGCUUCCUGACACCCCCGAAUGCCAGGGAGUCCGGACCAGUAUCCGAGCACACCUGAUCGCCGCGAUGGGGCAGACAGCCACUCUGCUCAAGAGAGUACAGGACGUCUCUUAUACGGAAGCCGCCUCCGACCAGACUCAUCGUAGCCGGGCCUCACCCAGUAGGCGUCGCCGCAGCCGCUCCCCCGACAACCGUCGAGGGGACUCACGGCGCGACGAUGGUGGUCGGGACGCCGAUGGCCGCCGCCAGCAGAACCGCGUACGCGGCCAAGAAGAAGAAGAUCAACACAGGGAUCUCCGCCACAACAUCCCUCCCAAAGAUGCCCGGGACCGCAUCAACAGGCGCGCCGCAGAGAGAGCAGUCCACGAAAACCUGCGCCGCAUCGAGUACGAUGCGACCCAUGGUCCUCCGGGCCUAAGGCAGUUCUCCUCACACCUCCGCCAGGUCGUGUGGCCCCGCAAUUUCAAGCUCGAAAAACUUAAAAAAUACGACGGCAAGGAAAAUCCAGAGAACUGGAUCACCCUCUACGAAAUCGCCGUCCGAUCAGCGGCAGGAGAUGAGCACGUCAUGGCUAACUACUUCCCCGUAGUCCUCGACCAGGCCGGUCAUCAGUGGCUUCUCGGCUUACCCGAGGACUCCUUCGACUCUUGGGAAGAGCUACGACAGGCCUUCAUCGACAACUUCAUCGCCACAUGUGAGCAGCCCGGAAACAAAUAUGACCUUGAAAGGAUAAGAGACAGGAAGAAUGAACCCCUGCGCGAUUAUAUCCGACGAUUCUCGGAUAUGCGCCUCAAAAUCCCGAAGAUUUCUCAUGACGAGGCCAUAUCAGCCUUUAUCAAGGGCUUGCGUUUCCAUGAAGCGCUGAGGAACAAGUUGUUGCGUAAGUGCCCAUCAACGGUAGCAGAGCUCCUCGCCACGGCUAAAAAUUAUGCCGACGCUGAUGACGCAGAAAAACUAAUCCGAGACGAUGCGAGAGGCACCGACCAGCCCUCCCGGCGAGAUGACGGUCGUGGUCGCUACGACAACAGAAAUCACCGCCGCUCCGACAACCGUGAUCACCGAGAGGGUUGGGAUCGGCGGCGCAAUAGCCGCGACGACUUCAGAGGAAAGCGCCCUCGUGAAUACGACCACGAAGUAAACACGGUUAAACGUCCCAAUGGACGACGGGACUACCAAGAAGACUACAACAAAACGUUGAAGGGACCAUGCCAGCUACACCCAAAGUCUAACCAUACCAUGGAAGAGUGCCGCGUCCUCAAAAGUAUCUAUACACGGCGGGCCGCCCAAGAAGACACCGCCAAGAAAACUAACAAACGCGACGGGCACGACCACGAAGAUGAGGAUGAGGACCAAGACAGGGACCCCCGACACCAAUACGUCAGCCCCACCGACGUGGUCCACUCCAUUUUCGGGGGCAAGGUCUCCACUGAGUCCAAGCGAGAAAGAAAGCUGUUAAAGAGAGCCUGCCUCAACAUAGACAGCACGGACGGGCUGAUCGCAGAUCCGAAAUUUCCCGCCUGGUCCCACAGGGAGAUCGCGUUCAGCAGGAAGGACCAGUGGGCCGCUAUCCCAGAGCCGGGUCGUUUCCCACUAAUUCUUGAUCCCUGCAUCAAUAGCAUCAGAUUCGAGCGCGUGCUCGUGGACGGGGGAAGCUCCAUCGACAUCCUCUUCCGCAACAGCCUGCCCGCCCUCAAGAUAUCACCGGCGCAACUAAAACCUUACGACGCCCAAUUCUGGGGGGUUUUGCCAGGUCAAAGUUCGGUGCCCCUCGGACAGAUAACAUUGCCUGUCCAAUUCGGCACACCCGAUCACUUCCGGACGGAGUUCAUCAACUUCGUAGUCGCGGACUUCGACGGGACCUACCACGCCAUACUGGGCCGCCCAUCGCUGACAAAGUUCAUGGCAGUCCCGCACUACUCAUACCUAGUGCUUAAGAUGCCCACGGAGAAGGGUGUCCUAACCGUCAGAGGCAACGUCUACACGGCGUACACCUGCGAAGAAGAAAGCUUCAAGAUCACCGAGGCAAUUGACCUCUCAAUCCGCAUGGCGGAAACAGCAAGCCAAGCCGCACAGCUGCCUCCCGACCAGCUCCGAUUACCUGAGCAGGAGACAUCCAGAAAGAAUUCGAAAUCCAAGGAGUACAAAGAAGUGCAGCUGGUCGAAGGCAACCCCGAGAAGACAGCCCUCAUCGGGGCUAACCUGGAUCCAAAAUAGGAAGACGCGCUCGUCAGGUUUCUAAGGGACAACGUGAGCGUUUUCGCAUGGAAACCCGCAGACAUGCCCGGUGUCCCACGAAACCUGAUCGAGCACUCCUUAAACGUCUCGAAGACCGCAAGACCAAUCAAGCAAAAACUGCGACGGUUCGCUCGUGACAAAAAGGAGGCCAUUAGGACAGAAAUAACACGGCUUCUAGCAGCCGGAUUCAUAAAAGAGGUGUAUCAUCCCGAUUGGCUCGCCAAUCCGGUUCUUGUACGCAAAAAGAAUAAUGAAUGGAGAAUGUGCGUUGAUUACACCGAUCUCAACAAACACUGUCCUAAAGAUCCUUUUGGUCUUCCUCGCAUCGACGAGGUGGUCGACUCAACGGCCGGAUGCGAACUCCUCUCCUUUCUAGAUUGCUACUCUGGUUAUCACCAGAUCUCGUUAAAGGAAGAAGAUCAGAUCAAAACAUCCUUCAUCACGCCCUUCGGCGCAUACUGUUACACUACCAUGUCUUUCGGACUUAAAAACGCCGGGGCCACUUAUCAAAGGGCCAUCCAGCAAUGCCUCCACGACGAGAUUCGCGAUGACCUCGUCGAGGCCUAUGUGGACGACGUGGUCGUAAAAACAAGGGACGCGAGCACCCUAAUCGACAACUUAGACCGAACCUUCAAAGCACUCAAUAGGUACAAGUGGAAGCUCAACCCCAAGAAAUGCAUUUUCGGCGUCCCUUCCGGUCUACUGCUCGGCAACGUCGUCAGUUGCGACGGCAUACGACCAAACCCUUCAAAAGUCAAAGCCGUGCUCGACAUGCGACCACCGAAGAACGUCAAGGAUAUUCAGAGGCUAACCGGAUGCAUGGCCGCCCUCAGUCGUUUCAUCUCAAGGCUGGGAGAAAAAGGCCUCCCUUUCUUCAAACUAUUGAAAGCGUCAGAAAAAUUCUCCUGGACAGAAGAAGCCGACGCUGCGUUCACUCAGCUUAAGACCUUCCUCACUUCACCGCCUGUCCUCACAGCGCCUCGGCCCAAUGAAGACCUGCUCCUUUACAUUGCUGCAACCGACAGGGUUGUUUCCACGGCAAUAGUGGUCGAGCGAGAUGAACCAGGUCACGUUUUCAAGGUCCAGAGACCCGUUUACUUCAUAAGUGAAGUUUUAAACGAAUCCAAGGCCAGGUACCCACAAAUACAGAAGCUUAUAUACGCCAUCCUGAUAACGUCAAGAAAGCUGAAGCACUACUUCGACGGCCAUCGAGUCCUGGUGACAACCAGCUUUCCUCUCGGGGACAUCCUGCGCAAUAAAGACGCCAAUGGCAGAAUCGUGAAAUGGGCAAUGGAAUUAUGUCCAUUUUCCCUAGAGUUCCAGAGUCGCACCACUGUCAAGUCUCAAGCCCUGGUCGAUUUCAUUGCCGAAUGGACGGAUCUCAACGAACCUUCCGUUCCAGAUGUCUCAGACCACUGGUCAAUGUUCUUUGACGGGUCCUUGAACAUCAACGGUGCAGGCGCUGGGAUAUUGUUCGUAUCACCAAACAAGGACAAACUCCGCUACGUCCUUCGAAUCCUUUUUCCGGCGUCAAACAAUGUCGCCGAAUACGAAGCUUGUUUACAUGGCGUACGACUAGCCGUCGAACUGGGGAUCAAGCGCCUCUAUGUCUACGGCGACUCCGCUUUGGUCAUCAAUCAGCUCAACAAGGAGUGGGACGCAACCCACGAGAAGAUGGAUCUCUAUUGCAAAGAAAUUCGCAAAUGGGAAACUAACUUCUAUGGCAUAGAGUACAUCCACGUGGUCCGGGAUAAGAACCAAGCAGCAGAUGCGUUGUCAAAGUUAGGCUCGUCUCGGGCCCAAAUCCCGCGGGGUAUUUUCGUCCAGGACAUCCAUGAGCCGAGCGUAAGCUCCCCCCUGGUCGACAAACAACCCACCGAGGCAAUGCUCAUAGAUGACGCCACUCCGACAACCGGUGGGCGUGACUGGCGUAUCCCGUUCAUCAAAUACAUCUCAGACGGGACAGGUUUUCAGGACAAAACAGAGAACGAGCGUCUCAUCCGACGAUCAAAGAACUACAUCCUGGUCGACGGAAAACUCAUGCGGAAAAACGCAAGCUCCGAGGUACUGCUCAAGUGCAUACCCCAAGACGAUGGCAUCAAGCUCUUGGAGGACAUACACGCCGGAUCCUGCGGCAACCACGCCGCAUCUAGAACGCUGGUCGGAAAGGCUUUCCGAGCAGGUUUUUAUUGGCCAACCGCGGUCAGCGACGCAGAAAAACUGGUUCGGCAUUGCGAAGGAUGUCAGUUUUUCGCUAAGAGGACCCACGUACCUGCCCAUGAAAUUCAAACCAUCCCGUCAUCUUGGCCCUUUGCUUGCUGGGGGCUUGACAUGAUCGGACCAUUUAAACCAGCCCCGGGCAACUUCAAGUUUGUUUUCGUGCUAAUCGACAAGUUCUCCAAGUGGAUUGAAUACAUGCCCCUGGUCAAGGCAACCUCCGAGAAGGCUGUGGAGUUCCUCAAUCAAAUCAUACACAGAUUCGGCAUCCCGAACAGCAUAAUCACCGACCUGGGCACUCAGUUUACUGGCACCACUUUUUGGGAUUUCUGCGAUGACAGAGGCAUAGUCAUAAAAUAUGUGUCAGUGGCACAUCCACGUGCCAACGGUCAAGUUGAACGUGCUAACGGAAUGAUCGUCGACGCCCUAAAGAAAAGAUUGUACACCGAGAACGACAGAGCACCCGGUCGUUGGAUGAAGGAAUUGCCGGCAGUGGUCUGGGGCCUCCGAACUCAGACCAGUCGAAACACAGGGGUGUCUCCCUAUUUCAUGGUGUACGGCGCAGAGGCGGUCUUGCCGUCCGACAUACACUUCGGAUCUCCUAGAAUCGAGCACUUCGACCAGGCGACCGCCGACAACGCCAGAGAACUAGAAAUCAAUUGCAUGGAGGAAAAGCGUUUAGUUUCAUGUCUCCGAACAGCAAAAUAUCUCGCGGCAGUCAGGCGAUACUACAACAGGAACGUCAAGGACCGUUCCUUCGUGGUCGGCGAUCUGGUGCUUCGAUGGAAAACAAGCCAGGAGGGAAUGCACAAGUUAUCUACUCCCUGGGAAGGACCCUUCGUGGUGACCGAGGUCACACGACCUACGUCCUACAGAUUGGCAUACCCAGACGGAACACGAGUGCCUAACUCUUGGCACAUCGACAAACUGCGACGUUUCUAUCCAUAAAGUUUCAACGACUUUCUUUUGUAAGUACCUUAUAAUUUCUGAUAAUAAAAUUCUCUAUUUUUCGCCUAUACCUUGUCAUACACAGCACUCGGCAAAACUUCUGCAAUGGAUGCUCUCGGCGACAACCAAGACAAAUACGGUGACACGUCACUCAGAUAUUUUUACAGCGCUCAAAACAACAGUCAUGACAAAAAGAAAACUUUAUUACAAACUUUACAUACAAAGUUUACAAUAAAUACCCUGACGGGCAGAUACUAGUCUAUUCCUACAGACUACUUUAUUGGCCUAGCUGCUCGGGCUGAUCACCCGCCUGGCCCUGCUGCCCGGACGAAGGGGUUGGGGCCACCGGCGCCUGGCUGGUCGAGACCGCAGGCGUCGACCGCCCAUCUCCAGCAACGGACGCGCCCGACAACUCCCUGGCCGACCUAUCUGUGCUCGGCUGGUCUGGAGGAGUGGCCGUUCCGCACAGGUUGAUGUCGCCGAUCACUGUCGACGACAAGUCCAGCAGACUACCCCGAAGUUCGUCCGCUUCCUGUGGGCCGACUUCCUUCGGGUACCCCUUCUCCAGCCUGCUCAAGUCGACCAGGGGGUAGUGGGCGUGUACCAUGCUGAGGACGUGCGCGCCGGCAAACUCUCCGGCGUCCUUCACAAACUGCUGGAGCCAAUCCCACGCCCGUUGCGCCUUCUCGACGGGGGUCAACUGCGGCGCGCGGGGCUGGCUCUCCGGGAGCUCGGGACUGAUCAGGUCCAGGACCGGGGACACUCCUUUCCAGAUCCUGCAACAGUUGACCUUCCAGGAGUCCCGGUCCUUGACCAGCUCAUCCAGGUGCUUUUUGGUGUUCACCUUGAGCACUGCAAACAAAACGAAACGUUACUUCCGGCAUACCAGACAAGCAAAGGGGCAGGCAGCAACCAACAAGGCGGCACCCAUUACCAGCUAACUCCCGGUCUUUUCGACCCAAUUCCUCUUCCGCUCGCCGCCCGGACUCCUGUGCACUGGCGAGCUGUUGGCCGAGCUGCUCCUUCUCUUGUUGAAGGCUCGCCACCUCCUCCUCCAAGUCUGCGUGAAUCCUAAACUGGUCAGCAAAACAAACUACACAAGUACGCGAAACUGCUCGGAGCGUGUGACUAACCUUCCUGCAGCCGGUACUGGUCGGCCAGGCGACGAGCGAGGUCGAGACGACGCUCCUUUUCAGCGCUCAUCUCGACCACCUUCUCCCCGACCUCCGCCCGCAACUGGUCUACCUCCGCGGCAAGGGCCUUGUUCUCAGCCAUGACGAUUUCUAUCUGGUCAAAGCACCGUUUCCGGUACUUCGCCGUUUUCAUUACGUCCUACAAAGCAAGCAUAUAACGAUCAAGCAAGACAAGGCAAAAGAAUGCGCAUCAGUACAAAAAGCCGCUUACCUUGACUUCGUCGACAAGGCGCUUGGCCGCGCGCUCCACCCUGGCGGCCUCUUCGGUCUCAGCGACCUCCUCAUGACCGAUAAAGUGAUCCCCGCGUUGGCGCCACACAUACACGUGUUGGCGGCCAUCACGGGGACGACCCUCGAUCUCCUCCACCUCGUCGUCGGAGGCCGCCCGGGUUUCGUCCUCCUGUGCUGCGUCACCCCCGGUGGUGGUCCCAGGCAUUACUGGCCCUUGGACCAGACCUGGGGAGCCCGCAGCCGAAGAGGCUCCUGCUCGGGGCAGCGGGGGGACUUCACCCCCCCCGGCAGGAGGAGCGGUCGGAGAUCUCCCCUUCUCCGAGGAGUCAGUUGGGGGAGCCUCUCCAGCCCUGGUCGGGCUGCUUGUUGUCGGCGCCGCGCUCGGGGGCCCCUCGGUGCUCCCAGGCGCGACUGCAGCUGUUGGCUGUUCUGUGGUCUGGGGGGCUGCAUCCCCAGAACCGCGGGCAGGCUCGUCCGUUACCUGGCCGGCAGUUUGGCCAGGGUCGACAUCCGACGCCGCACUGCAGGAACAAAAGUUUAAAAAAAAAAAAGAGAGGAGUCCAAAAUACGUAAGUCGAACACUUACAGGUCUGACCGGCGAUGGGUCGCGGUGAACCUCCUCCUCGCCCAGCCGGUCGGCACCUGUGCCCCCACCUCGGCAACUUGCGGGGCAGCGACGCCGCUGGCCACUCGAUCAGUGGCGACCGGCGUAGUGUCUGGGCGGCUCCGAGGCCGUCGGACCAACGACGGCGCAGCCUCCUCGUCGUCGUCAUCGUCGUCGACGAUCCGCACGAGCCGACGACGUUUCGAAGCUUGGCUGCUCUCCGCCGGUAGGUCUGCUGGCAGCUCCGAUGUCGGCAAGGGAUCCGCCGGCAAUGGCCUUUUCCCCGUUACCCUCUCCUCGGAGGUCGGGACGGGGCGGGCUCGGUCUUCCUCACUGCUGGUGUAAUGAGUACACCGAGCAGCGUCCUCCUCUGGCGGGACCUCUCCCGCAGGAUUUUCCAUCCCCGGCGCCAGUGAUACAUACACCACGUACCGGUCGACAUCACCGGCCUGCAAAAGCAACAGAGAUGAGUCAACUACAGACGAUAUACGAAUGAUCAAACAGAGUCUGCCGCAUACCUUUGGUGUUGGUCGUCCUAACUUGAAGGCUUGCACCCGACCACUGCCCCAGGUGAAGCCCCCAUCCGCGAAGUUAAACAGCUCGUUCAACAGCUGUUGUACCUCCGCUUUCUCCAAGAUCUCCGACCGCAUCCUGGUCGGGUCUGCGCUUCCGGCAUACUCGUACGCCGAGUGCACCCUCUUCUGGCAGGGCAUCACCCGGCGGCAAAUGAAGUUGCCGACCACGCCAAGCCCAUCCAGGCGCGACCAGUCGAUCAGCUUCAUCAGAUCCGCCACUUGACCGUCGAACUCUGGGCGGUCGGUCCAGCUCGUCCUCUUCUCGGGAAUGUAUCCCACGUCGCAGAACGUGGAGCUGCCCGGUUCCUCCCUGACAUAGAACCACUUCCUGUACCAUUCGGUCAAGGAAGUGUUCCAUGGGCAGUGCAGAUAGCGAUUCUUCAUCCCAUCGCGAAGGUUGAGGUAUACUCCACCUGCAACCUUGGAGCCUCCAACUGCUCCCUUCUUCCUCAAGCAGAAAAGGUAUCGGAAAAGAUCGAAGUGUGGCUCUAUGCCAACAUAGGCCUCGCACAGGUGGAUGAAGGUGGAAAUAAGGAGAAUUGAGUUCGGGUGCAGAUUGCAAAUCCCGAUCUCAUAGUACAAAAGAAGACCUUGAAGAAAAGGAUGGACAGGAACACCAAAGCCUCUCUUAACGAAAUCCUCAAAAACGACGAUCUCACCGGCGCGAGGGUCGGGGUAGCUCUCCCCCUCCGGUGCCCUCCAGCCGCCGAGCUCUGCACCGUGCAGAAGCCCCAUAUCGACGAGGUCACCAAGAGAUUUUGUGGUGCUGCGAGACUUCUUCCACUCCUUGGCCAUCAGUUCGGCCCUCUUCCUGGAGUCGCUCUUCGCCAUUAGAGGUGCGAAUGUGGGCUGGAGUUAGGAAGAUGCAGGAGAUUGGAGAAGAUGAGAGCGUAAGGUUUGAAGGCAACGACAGGAGAAGCGGUACAGGCGGUCCUAUUAGACCCUUAUAAACCCGCGACCCAACUUCUCCCACUUCCUGUAUUCUCGGGAAGUGGGCAGGCCAUGCGGCGGAUGCGGCGUUUCGGUUUACAAUGAUUAUAGACAAUCAAUGCGGCGGAGUUUUCGUACCAAUUGAUGGUUUCCUUUUCUCAAACCAAGCAAAGAGCGGUUGUACAGUUGCCAGGUGCAGCUUUUCAUGCAUCUGACUGACAUAUCGUCAGGAGACCCCGUCACGUCAACUUUAAUUGGAAAGAUCUUUUCAAAAGAAGACACAUACGCCAGUGAGUCAGCAAUCCGGGGACUGCACCGACCACCGAGCACUCGACGCUCGGGGACUGGUUGCCCAGUCUGUCAGCUCGGAACUUCAAGGACUGCACCGACCACCGAGCACUCGACGCUCGGGGACUGGUUGCCCAGUCUGUCAGCUCGGAACUUCAAGGACUGCACCGACCACCGAGCACUCGACGCUCGGGGACUGGUUGCCCAGUCUGUCAGCUCGGAACUUCAAGGACUGCACCGACCACCGAGCACUCGACGCUCGGGGACUGGUUGCCCAGUCUGUCAACUCAGAACUUCAAGGACUACACCGACCACCGAGCACUCGACGCUCGGGGACUGGUCGCUUAGACUAUCAGUUCAAAACUUUAAAGCAUGCACCGACCACUGAGCACUCGAUGCUCGGGGACUGGUCGUACAAUAUAGCAACAUAUAAUUCCAAGAAGCACACUAAGUGCCUGGGGACUGGUCGAUUGGUUUUUUCGAUUGCAGACGAGCAUGACAUGCUCGGGGACUGGUAAAUUCAAUUUUUUAGACCUUGCUACAAGGCUCAUACUUCGCCUUCCAGCAAGCUCGGGGACUACAUCGGUACGAUGCAUCUAGCGAUGCAUCUUAGUUCUCGAAACUACUUUGAGGAAUUUUCUUUUGACCCUGGCACCACGUGCCUACGUCACCUACUACCAGGCUCGGGGACUAAGUGGGCACACUUCACCUUGCGGUGAAUAUGCUUGCUAUUUUGAGGUCUAUACUUUUCAGAAAAGUAAAGUGGGCACACUUCAACAGGAAAGAAAUCUUUUUUAAGAGCACCAUGCAUUCUUCGAACAACCUGCUUCUUCGAUGUCAAUGUUGAUCAACUGUCUUUUAAGUUGGUCAAAAUACCGUUGCAACUGUUCGGGUGACUUUCCUGCUUAUUGAAGACGUCAAGCCUCACUGAUCGAAGAAGCUCAAGACGGCGUGUUACAUCACAAUACAUGGUGCUCGGGGACUAGCUGUGGGGGUAUAAACCCCUAUACCCUUACGGCUAGACUUGGGCCAGGAGGCUUGGCCCAUUACGAGACGAGUUCAAGGCUUGAUCCGACAACCUGGAGUUUCGCGCAAGGAAACAAGAUGUGGAGAUCAAGCAGGAUUCUAGUCGGUUAGAAUAGGAAUUGAUAUCGAAUUAUCCAUGGCAAUUGUAACCGACUAGGAUUAGUUUCCAGAUCUGUAACCCUGCCCUCCAGACUAUAUAAGGAGGGGCAAGGGACCCCCCUACGGCACAUCAUAUUCUCUCAACACAAAUCAAUACAACCAGACGCAGGACGUAGGUAUUACGCCAACUCGGCGGCCGAACCUGGAUAAAAAGCUUGUCCGUGUCUUGCGUCACCAUCAAGUUCGUAGUUUGCGCACCGUCUACCGAUAAACUACUACCGUGGGUAUACCCCAAGGUAGACUGCCGACUAGCUUUCGUCGACAGUCAAGUAUGAGUAAUUUUUUUAGCUGGUUAGUGGUUACCCGUGUGGCGCAAAUGGGGGAUAGCAGACCGUGGAUUCCCUGCGGGGUAGAAUCACACGGACUGACUACCAAAACCAAGCGGCGCUAACUUGUUAGACGAACCAUUGAAAGACUUCAUAGUGAACCUUGCCGGCCUCCCUUGGAAGGGGGUUAAGAGGUUAGCUACCUUGGGCGAAAGGGUAAAUCAUGUCUCAUGGGUAAAGAUGUACGACUUCUGUAGAGUGUUUAAUAAACUGGUAUACUAGCCGUGCUCACGGUCACGAGCGGCCUUGGGGAUUCUUACAUUAAGGGUGAUGAAUCUUGUUGUGUUAAGAAACUCAUUGUUUAUUGUUUAAUGCUCUAUAUUAUUUAUGUCACAUUGAUCAUGAGACCGUGGGAUCCAUACUAUCUAGUUGCUAUACUUGCGGAGUUCGUCUUGGACUCACUCUUGCUAUCUCCCCCACACUUCUAGAGAAGUAUUGGGCUUGUGAUCAACCAGUCAGUUGGAUCGUGUAUGUUUUCUCCGAUUGUUUGUGUGAUCGAUGAUCGAGUUUAGACGGAGAGCAGUUUUUGUGAUCAAGAUCAAAGCUUUGCCAACAAGUAAGACCAGCAGAACCAAAAGGAUAAGCAAGAGCAUUUGGAUCAAGACAAGUAUAGCAUUUGGAUUUUAUUUCUGUGACCAUGAUCCUGUGGCUAGAUUAAUGUUAAGUAAUAAAUGAUAAAAAUGACUUUUUAGCCACUUGAUGAUUUUUCUGUACAUGAUCACCCGGGAUAACAGUGCAACCAUGAGGGCUAUAAUGGCUCUGACUUGUUAGCGGUUACCCGUGAUCACCCGAGUAUGAGGACCUUUUUCUAGCUUGUUAGCGGUUACUUUAAAUGGCGUAAGAAUGGCUAGACACGUUGGGUAUAGUGUGGCCUCUGUCCGUGUGUAUAGGCUACGGGUUAUGUGCCAUGGAAGGGGGGCUCUAUAUCUGCCUGCCGAGUGAAUCUAAUGGCCCUAACUUGUUAGACGAACUUUUGAAAGGCUUCAUAGUGAUCCCUGCCGACCUUCCUUGGAAGUGGGUUAAGAGGCUGAUCACCUCGGGCGAAAGGGUAAAUCAUGACUCAUGGGUAAAGAUGUACAACCUCUGUAGAGUGUUAAAAACUAGUAUACUAGCCGUGCUCACGGUCAAGAACAGCCUUGGGGAUUCUUGCAUCGACGGUGAUGAUUUUUGUGUGUUAAAUAUGCUCAUUAUUUAUUAUUUAAUGCUCUACAUUAUUUAUGUCAUAUUGAUCAUGAGAUUGUGGGAUCUAUACAAUCCAGUUGCUAUACUUGUGGAGUUCGACAUGGACUCACUCUUGCUAUUUCCCCCAAACCUCAGGAGAAGUUUAGGCUUGUGAUCA
rnacentral:lncRNA from 1 species